rnacentral:lncRNA from 1 species
CUGCAAAUAAAGAUUAGAGAGUACUAUUCUUUUAACGUUGGACAAUGCCACAUUGUCUUUGAAGCCUCCUAUAUCAUGCUGAAGCAGAUGCCGGUGUUGCGGCUGCGGCAGUGGCAGGUGUUGGUAGAGGUGUAGAUGUCAACACUGGUGGCAGAGCAGCUUCUGGUGUUUCUUCCAAUGCUGGCGGUGGUUGUGGUGAUGGAGGUGGCACAGCAGCUUCUGGUGUUUCUUCCAAUGCUGGCGGUGGUUGUGGUGAUGGAGGUGGCACAGCUGCUUUGACGAGAAUAGAUGGGAAAUCAAGGACUACAAUCUUGUCAAUGGCUGCACUGAAGGUGGGGCAGAACUCAAGGUGUUUAGGAUGGGUAAGAAAUGAAGUGAUGGCUUCUUUGUCAUCAAAUGUCAUUGAGAAGACGUGUGUGAAGCCUUGUGUCAGCAUGUCUUGGCCUUCCACAUCAUGUCCCCUGUCCAAAGCCAAGCAGUAGUAUAUUUGCAUUACCCAUUGUUCAAGUUCCAAACAUCACUUGCAAGGGAUAACACUCUAUGUUUUUUUUCAAAAGCAUUUAAUUUUGAACUUUAAUCAAUUAAAUAAAUCAACUAUUAGUAGGGUACUGUCUCUAUCUAAAUUGAAGUAUCCAUCGACUAGAAUCCAAAGGAGAACACAAAAUUGUUACAAUUAUUAUAACUUGGAAUCAGAUAUAACAACAUGGAUUAACAGGAUGAGAGGGGAGUUUAGAUGAGAGAGAGAUACCACUCAAAGGACUUGACAGAGUCAAUAUCAGAAACCAUCUUCUCCACUUGCGCAACAAUUUCAUCCACAUUCAGACCCUCCUUAAACUUGGCAACAACAAGGUGCUUGAACUCGCCCAUGGCUGUCUACAAAGACUGGAAAUGUGAGAAGAAGGUGGAUUGAAGAACAGAAUUUAUACAGAGGCAUUUCACCGAAACUUAGCGUGGAGUUAGAGAGUAACUGGGUUUUUCCCCCUCUGUCCGCUGACACAAGACCACGUUCCAUUUUCGCGGUUGGGUUUUGAAGCAAUCAAUCGCCUAAAAAUGGCUAUGGGGCUAUGGGGCUAAUGGGCUAUGGGUAAUGGAGUAAUUGUUGGCUUUGUUUCCAUGUUGAUAGUUGACUGCAUCAGGUGUGUACAAGGACUAAGGGAGAAAGGACCCACAAGGUCAGUGGCUUGAGCCGCACGGUUGGACUUGGACCUACCCUUCCCUGCUUUGGAAUCUCUCUCUCUUCAUCUCCUCUCGCCUCUCACUCCUUAACCCAUAAUUGAAUAGACAAUGGUUUGUGUGCUCCCCAUCUUUCCAUACAAACAAAUAAGAAUAAUGUUUAGAAAAAAUAGCCGCACGUCAGAUCUUUACAAGUUUUUUCCUAAUUGAAAGAGAUAACACUUGAACUCAUCAAUCAUCAUUCAUCAUUCAUCAUCAUGCACCUGCCCAAAAUCUACAUCUAUACUCCUCUUUCAUGGUCUACUUACCGAUUAUUUUUUUUUAUAAAAGUAUGUACGGAACAAUUGAACUUUUUAUAAACCAUUAUAUUAAGUUUUGUACUGGGUACACGACUAAAUUAUCAUGUUUGCAAUUGAUUUGUCAAUGUGGUAGCCACUACUGUCAUGUUGUCCAAUUUGCAUGAAGUCAUGGAUUGGGUACUCGAUUUCAAUGCCAUGUCGUGUAUCCGACCCUUGACUUAAAGGUGGAUUUGUGUUUUGGCUACUCGACUUCGUCAACUUGAAAAACCUAUCCUGCUUCUACCUUUCUGUUAUGUCUCUGCCAAUUACGUCUCCAGCCAAAAGAACUAUUCCCUCCACUUCUACAGCUACCGUAUUCAUAUUGUUGUUGUCGUUGCCAUCUCAUUGUUUGACAUUCAUUUGCUGCCAUUUAUUUUGGUUUAUAAAAAAUAAAUCUAUUUGUAUAAUUUAUUUGUUUUAUCAUUCUACUUAUAUAAAUGUAUUCAUUAUGAAUGAAACAUUAUGUAUGUAUUAAUUGUUGGACUGACUAGAAAAAUAGCAUAUUCGAAAGUUUAAUUUGGAUAAAUAGCAAAGUUUAAUUUAAAUCGAAAAAUCUAAAGAAAAAUUGCAAUGGCAAUGUCUUAAAUGUCCCUAAUCUAGUGAAAAAACUAGCAUUCAAACAUUCAACAAAAAGAGGUUCAUCGAAAAAGAUUCAUCUAACCCUCCAAAACUCUUCAAACCUAAAACGAUUCCAACUUUCAGCUUCGUUUUCCUCAAACUCACAUCUAGUGGUUACUAUUUUGUGGUUCGGUCUUAUGCAAACUUAUUGCAUAGAAUACCCUCACUCGCAUGUCACCUACACAAACACGUUGGAUCAUUGUACUUAUAUCUGAUAAAAAGUAAGCUAUAUCUCUAUAGGGUCUUUUGAUCUCAAACAUUAGCGCUUAUUUCUAGAUAUCGACUUCUAGAGAUCGAACCACAUCACAUCAAAUCAACAAAAAAUACAGCAUUAACUCAAGUUCAACUCCAUAAAUCAAAUUUCUCCGAAAAGCUCGUGUGAACAACUGUCAAUAAUUUUAUUUAUGACAGAUUGUAACUCUCGUCGUAGUUCAUUUUUCUUGUGGUGCUUUAAAACAUAUGACAAUGUAGAUGGUACAUAAGAGGCAAGAGGGAAUGACAUAUGACAAUGGAUAGUAGUACUCUUCAAGACAUAUAACAACGUAAAUGAAAUAUGGAGUGAGUGAUACAUGACCGUGAACAUUAACCAUAAUAACGAGCCCUAUUUAGUAAUAUUUAUAAUAGAAUAAGUGUAUAACACACAAAUUAUUCUAAUAAAUAAAUAAAAGAAAUAGCACACAAAUAAAACCUUUUUAGCUAAUUAUUUUUAUGUGUUGUGUGAGUGCCCUCUUGGGCAGAUUGAAUCCCAAACCAAAACAAAACUUUUCAUUACUAAUUUUUACACACUUGAAUUUUCAAACAGAGACUAAAAAUAUAAAAUCUCUUUCACUACAACAAUGUUUUGAUUCCCACCCUUUCAUUUUCUUGUGUUUAGAGUCUUAGACCCUAUGUUAAUUAGGUUUCUAACUUCAUAUUUCUUAUUCAAAUAAUUAUUACUUCUUAAAUCCAUCUUCUAUACUCAUCCCAUCGUCUAAUUUCAUUAAUAUGACUUACUCAUACAACUGAUCCAAGAAUUUCUUGUUCUACUUUGGAAAAGUUUAAACGCUGGGAAAAUGAUAUAAAUUUGAUAGCUCUUCAAAGAACGACCGGGAAAAUGAUAUAAAUAUGAUAGCUCUUCUAAGGACUUAUACAAUCGGUUAUUCAAACAGUAGUUAAGACUUUAGACUUUUUUCCUACAUGCUUAUAGUUGUUUUUCCUGUUCAGUUUUAAAUUGUCAUGAAUUUAAUUUAGAUUUAAACUUGAUUCCAACCUCAUCGUUAACUUAAUCUAAAUCAUUAAUUCUACAUGUAACAUUCAUUUACUUUUCUCGUCGAUUCUCCAAAUCAUUCCUCUCUACCGAGUAGAUGUUCGAAGUGAGUGUUAUAAUAACUUUUCGAAACAACCGACAUAAGUGACUCUCACUAAAGUCUUUGCUAAUUUCAACGUAGUGGUUUUCAUAGCACAACGCUCUAGCUUUGUAAUCAACGACGAAUAACAAAUACUUUUUAACUUUUUAAAAUACAAUGUUAGUCGUAAAAUUUUGAGAUGGAAGCUAGGGAGAGGAGAGUAAGUACGAAUAGGGUAAUCUCCCAUAGAUUAAGCUAGAGAGUGAAGACUAUUUAAUAGUCGGAGAAAACUAAAGAGAUAAGUUACAAUAUUUGUUCUAUUCAUAUUGUUAUCGAGAAAGUAUACAAUUAUUUGUGUUUCAAACCUACCAACUCAAAUAAUUGUGAGUGAAAGGUGAAAAACUUUUUUCACUAACUCUAAAAGUUACCCAUAAGUGAUUUUUACACCAUCUUUUUUGGAACUUUUUUUUGUUUGGUGGAACACUAUCUUUUAUAAUAUUGUGAGAUAGAAAGAAUCAAACAUAGACUGAUGAUACAUGAACUUAUUUCCCUAAGCAAAUUAUAUUAUUCAAUUUUUCUAAAGAAAAUUAAAGUAAACAAAUAUAAAUUGGUUAAAAUUAUAAAAUUUGAAUGAUAUUUCAAACAAAUAAUUGGUUCAACUUUCAAAAUUGGUAAGGGUAUGUUCAUCAAAUUUAAUUUGUAAAUUAUAACUUAUUGUACUAUAUAUAAAAAAAAGAAAUAAAAAGAGUAAAUAAUUGAGUGUGAAUAAUGGAAAGGCUGUGAGUGAAUUGACUUGAAGGACACAUAUAAUGUACUAUUUUUGAGUUGAAAAGAAAAUCCAUUUCAACAAGUAAAACAUUACCCACACUCAAUUAUUCACUCUUUCAACUUUUAUACCUUUCUUUAUCAAAAAAAAAAUUAUAUUAUCAUUAUUUCUUUUUAUUUUUAUGACCCAACUUAUACUCUUAUUAAUUAAAACUAAUGAACAAGUAGAUAAAAAAACUAUAUUGCACUCCCAAAAUAGUUAUAUUAACACUGGUGAGAUGGACUGUGAUUGGGUCAACAAUAUUCCAUUUUCUUCUUCUUUAGGGUUUUUCUUAGCUUCUCUUUUGAGUCAAAUGUAUUAGUUGAAGGCUCUUCUACCUAUUUCCUUUUCUCUAGUGUAUACAAUAAAUGCUAAUUAAUGUGUACACAUAUAAUAUAUGUUACAUACAAUUAGAACACAAUAACACUUUACCCUCAGCUUGUCCAUGAUUUGUCAAUAAGAUAUUUAGUUAGAACAACAUAAUUAUAUGUAUUUCAUGGCUUCAUAGUGUUGAAUCCUAACUCUCUUUAAUUCCAAAUGUUUUGUUUGUUAUUCAAAAACAAAAUCAACAUGUUAUAUAUUCUUUAAAUAUACUACACAUCUUAUGAAAAAAAAAUGUGGUUCUAUGAUGGUUUUUUGUUGAUAACCUAUAUAUAAAAAUAGUGAAAGGCAUUGAAGGAUGGAUGAUAAAUGAUAGUGUCUAAAAACAUCCUACAAUUUUGCAAAUAGCAUCACGAGGGGAUUGCAUCAAAAGGUCUGUAGGGACUGAAAUGCAAAAGGCAAAAGAAGAAGAAAUUACAAAAUUGCUUUAGGCCAAGUGCCCCACAUGCCAUGAACAACAUACACACAUCCUAUUCAUAUCCAUACCAUAUUCUUGUUCUACAGAAUUGUAAGCUUUCCAAUGGCAAACUGAUGAUAUCUUUUUUCUUUUGAAUUACACCAAUUGAGGCAACCAAGCAGAGAUUCCAUGCCAACAAGAAAAUGUAAAAUCACUCACAGUGAACAAAGAGGAGUCCAUUGAUAAUGUGUACCCACCCAAUUUUGGGAAUCUAAAUCUAAAUUUGAUACUUGAUGCCUCUGAAAUAUCUGUGCAUAUCUUAUGGAGCUUUUUUUAUGAAUGAAUCUUUUCACAGAGGCCUUUUGUGAUUAAUCACUCAACCUCAGAAAAUGUGUGAAAUAUAAUCUUCUAAUUACAUGUAAUGCAUUAGGGCUAUACAAAUUCUAAUUAAAGACUGUCUUUAUAAUGUAUCACAGUAGAUGACCAUUUGUGAUAAACAUACAAAUGUGCACUAACACAUAAUCAAAAGAUUAUAUUAUCUACAUUUGUCAAAGCACAUAUCAGUCCUACAAAAAACUCUAUUGGUUAAGUGAGGAACAAACUCGAAGGGCUUCAACAUUGUUUUGACAUUGACAACAUCAAAUUAAAAACAUUUUCCUCCAUUUAUGUGUAACUCAGAGUAAACAAAAUGAAUAAUAAUUUAUGGAAAAACUACAUUUCUAAUCCUCAAAAUUUGAAAAAUUUGUACCAUUUCAUUCACUAGUAUAUCUUUGUAGUUCUCAAAUUUAUAAAAACAAACUCAUUUGAUUUAUGAGUUUUAAAAAUUCAAUGUAUUUUCAAAAUUAAGUUUAAAAAUAUCCGUCAAAAUCACUUCUCACACUUAUAUGAUAUUUCAUCAGACACUUUUAUUUUAAAUACUUAUAUGACAUUUCAAUUUGGAUGAAUAAUUUCUAAAGUUCAUAUCCACCUUUUAAAAGUGUUUUUACUCUCAUUUUAAAUAUUAUAUAAUUUUUUUUAAAAAAAGAACCUUUUAAAUCUAUUUUAAAAACUAAAAGACUUUAAAAUACAUUUUGAAAAUUUGGGUAAAUGAAUUUAUUCUUAUAAAUCCACGUUAUUUUAAAAACUCACAAACCAAAUACACAUAUUUAUCAAAACUUCAAAACUAGAAAGAUAAUUUUUUCUAAUUUUAUUAAUUGAUAGUUUGAAAAUUAAAAUAUCAAAAUAGGUAGAAGUUUUAAGGAAAGCAAAUUUUAGUCCUCCAAUUUUAAAAUGAGAAACAAAUUACAUUAAUCUCGUUCAAUUUUAGUUAAAUUUGAAUUACAAGCUCCUAAAUUAAAUCAGUAAUAAAAUAAUAUUUAACUUGAUAUUAGACACAUUAAUAAUCUUCAAUUUAAUUUUAGUUACACAGAAAUUAAAUGUAUAUUUCAUUUUUUAACAUUACCAUAUUAUUAAUAGAAAAUCUAACCAAUGUAUUUCAAUUUAAAUUAGUCAUUCUUUUUUACAUAUUUAAGCCAGUUUCUUUAACAUAACAAACAUUAAAAACACACUUAAUAAGAAUUUUGUUGUAUUUGAAUAAUGGAAAGACAUUUUUAAGAAUGAAACUGCUAAAAACAUUUAUAAAUAUAUGAAAAAUAUCACAAUCAUAAGAAUAAGUAGCAUACUAUAUUGUGGUUAAUGGUAAAUAGAUUGUAAUAUUUUGUAAAUAUUAUAAUUCAUUUCGUUAGAUUCGAAAAUAACUCAAUAUUUUAGUUUUAAACUUAAUUAUAUUAAAAAUAAUCAAAAUGGAUGAAAAAUAUAAACUAAAUCUAAAACCUAAACCGUGAUCAAGACUUCUAAAUCUACCCUGUGAAUAAAAGGUCAAAAUAAACAAUGCCAAUAUUACUUUGUAAUACCAAAUUUGGAAGCCAUAAGAGUUAUUCUUGAGGAGGUAGUUUCUGGUGCAGCAAGGAAAGGCCUUCACACUUCUUCCUAAGCCGAUACAUUCGUUUUCGAUGUGUUCGACCUUGAUUGUGUUGUUCCCAUUCAUGUGCUCCUCUUAAUACUUUAUUUCCACAAGCCUGUACAAAUCAAAUACUUUCAGGAAUAUGUUUCACGCAUUGGUGUUCAUUUUUCCUUUGUAUGGGUGCAUGUGCAUGCUGGAAAAGUAUUUGUAAUGUAAUGCUUUCCAUGUAGUUUCAAUAGUAUUUAUGUACGAAAGAAGAUAAAUGAUAAUGUCUUCAAUUAUCCCAUUCAAUGGUUUUCUUUCUAAUCAUUCAGUAUGCAGAGAAUUCUUGAAGCAAUGGUAAUUAGUGUUCAUGGCUUAUUACUAUUAUUAUUCUUAUUUUGAUAUUUUCCAUUUAUAUAUUUUCAAUGGGCUCUAUUUAUUCCCCCAUGUAAAAGGUCAUAUGUAAUCUAAUUUAUUCACAAGAAUAUUGUUCCUUCGCCUAGCUUUUUGCCAUUUAUUCUAGUUAAACAGGACUGACCCAAAAAUUUUGACUAAUGGGUGAACGUAAAUUUAUUACUAUACCAACAUUCUCCCUUAUUUGUGAGAAUUUAAAAAUAUGUUGAAGACCCAAAAAUGAAAAUCAAAACUAAUUGAUAAAGAAAUAACAUUACGAAGAUUUGAACACAUGAACACAUGACUUUAAGUCACGUAUUUUGAUACUAUGUUAAAUUUACCAUUAAUCCAAAAGCUUAAGCUAAGCUAUGAAUGUAAAUUUAACGUAGUAAGAACUAUUUUGACGCUGAAACCUCAACUGUUUUCAAGUGCAAAACAAAAAUAGUUAGAAACACGACCUAAUGGAAAUUACCUGGCAUAUAUACUGUGUCCACAAGUCCUUCUUGAUUAGCUCUGAACUGUGUGGUUUCAUUGUCUCGGUCGCCGAACCAUCUGUAAGAAAAGAUCUAAUUAUCUGGACUGCUGGUUCAACGACGUGUGCAGUCCAUGAAUCCUCCACCUUGCCUAAUGUUUGAAAUAGCAGGCGUUCAAGAUAAUGGGUCAGGCAAGAGGAAGCUUAUUAAUUAAAUAAUGAGCUCAAGAUUAUCACAGAAAUUAUACAUGUUAUAUAUUCCGUGGAAUCAACAUAGUGGAUCUUCCAUCCAAACAAAGUUUCCAGUCUCUUUAGCUGCCUCCUCUGAAAACAAUAAAUACACUUUAUAACAGAAAGUAUAGAAUAGAAACAUACCUAUAUUACUUUAAAUGUACUUCCACAGUAAAAAAUUUACGCAUAUAUAACUUAGUCUCUAAGCUUUUUUUUUAAGAGACCAAGGUCAUUGAUUAGUUGAGGAAUGAAAUGUAACAGGAAGAUAAAAAUAAUUCUAGCAACUAUUGUGUAAGACCCCUGGCUCAGGGUUGGGAGGAUUAUUAGUAAAUAUUACUACAGUUAUUUUUUAUUAGAAGGGGCAUAUUAGUAAUUAGCUAGUAAGUUGGUUAAAGCUUUUAGUUAUAUAUAGUGAGAGUGGAUUGAAACGCUAUGUUAUAUCGUAGUUUCUUCAUUCAUAUUGCAAUAGAUGUUUAUCUGUAGUGUUCUUUGUUUGUUCUGUGUUCUUGAGCACCUCUCAUGGGUGGUAUCCUAACAUAUUGUUCAUGGAAUAUAAAAUAGAACUUCAACUAGAGACUAAAGUAGAAAGACUAACAUUAUAACUAUACGAUGUCGGUUGUCAACCAACAUCUAUGAACAUGUUAUUAAAGUCAGUUAUAAACUGACAUUAAAGAUGACAACAAUGUAUUGGAAUUUGUCCUCGAACUUAUAGUUUGUCGUUUAAAAUUAUAUUUUAUUCAAUAAAGUGGUUAUUAAGGACUUCUUAGUGAAAAUAGAAUAUUAUAAUCUUGAAUCCAAUAAACUAAGGUCCCGAGGCUAUCUAGUGUAAACUUGAACUUUAUGUAAAGACAUAAACGUGGAUCAAGUUCAAGUAUAUAGCCCAAACGGUCUAUAGUGUAUGAAUAAGGUUGGACGCCUUAUUCUGGGGAUACUAUGGAUGCGGCAUGCUUUAUAGUUAGUAAAAACGAUGUGAUCUUGAAUCGUUCAUGUAGAGACAUGAAAGUGAGGACAUCCUAUGUAAAGAGUUUACAUAAGACUAAAACCAUAAAAUAGUCACUUUUAAGUUAUUACACUGUUGACUAUAUAAAACUGACUUAGAUAACUUAAUCUUAAUCCUGAGCUAAUUAUGAACUUUUGUUCAAACGGAAUUAUCCUUAAAUUUGCAUACGUGAGAGCACCUUAACAGUGUCGACACAAUAAGCCUCUCAUUUUUGGGGUAAGACUGGUCAGAUGGCUAAGGACAUAGGGUGCAAGACAGAAUUCACUCCAGAUAGAUUGUCUCUUAAAGACUGAAUCCAAGUCUUGAACAAAGGGUUUCACCCUUUCAUUACAAGGGAUUCGGUUUAUAAAUUGGACCUUAAACCAAUUAUUAACAGUGGAUCAGUAGAACUUAAGGAGCAAAAUAUAAUCUUGAAGGUAUAAUGGUAUUUUGACUCAUUCGAGAUUACGAAAAACUUGUGAAUAAUCAACUUACUUAUCAUGGUUAUACUAGAUGAACACAGAUAUAUCUAUAGUGAGGGGAGUGCAACUACGAGACUUUAGUGGAAUCGUCACAUUAUUUAAUACACGAUAAUGCACACAAAACCUCCAAUUACCAUCCUUUUUCUUCACCAGAAGCAUAGGGCUAGAAUAUGGGCUUGUGUUUGGUCUUAUGACUCCCGAGGCUAACAUUUCAUUUACCAAUUUCUCCAUCUCCUCUUUCUGUUGGUAGGAAUAUCUAUACGUUCAAACAUUGGUCCCCUUCUUCAAAUGAAUGUGUUGAUCUAUGUUUCUCUAAUACCAAUAUGAUAGAACACUAACUUACAUUGUGUAUUAUUCAAAAGAUCAACAGAAACAAGUACGAGAAAUUGACAAAGUAUCAAUUCCUGAAUCAAAGCAAGUAAGAAGGGUAAAGAAGAAUAAGAAGAACACUACCCACCCCUCUGCCCUUCCUAUCUUUCAAGGAAUUGACAAAUGAUUCACACAAUUCUCAUACCUCACUCACAGACCCCGCUUUGCUAUUUAUACCUCCUCUCGCUCCUAACUAACUGUGGGUCUCAGUCUUGGCAGGCUGGCAGCAAUACGGCAUUACAUGUGCACUCCCCUUAUUCCCCCUCCUACUGUACUGCCACAUGAUAGGUGCUCUACCAGAAAACUCUCCAUCUUUGCCACAAGGACCUCCGCUAAAAAUUUUAUGAAGACACACCUAAACUACUGGUUGAAGCACUGAAUUUUUUUUAAAUCUACUUUAAAAGAUAGAAAUAGAAGAGCAAAAAAUAAGAAACAAACUGGUUAUCCAUUCCUUCUUGAUCCAUAUUGAUAUUCGCAUUUGGACAACAUGUUCAUUUCUACAACAAAAUCACAUCAGAUAAAAGGAAGUUAAUUGAUACAUACCUGACGACGAACCAGUCUUCUAGUAUUCAACUUUACAUUAUCUACGGCUUCUUUUAGUAGCAAACUGGGUUGGCCAUCACAAGGUGAAGUUAGGAUUGACCUCAUAUUCUCUUUCAAAAUCUCAUUGCACUCCAUUAAAUUUUUUGGACUAAGCCCAGCACUUUCUUUUUUGCAUCCACCUUCAGGUAUAUAACAUCUAAAAAAUUCUUCAAACUCCCGAACACCAAUAGCUUGACACAAUCCUCUAGUAUAGUUUGCAUUUGGAUUGUAAAUGUCAUACACCUCAUCAAGCAAUCCAGCAGCCAUCAUGAUGUCAACUCUAGAAUCAACAUGUUCGUCAAGUUGUGGAACAGAAGCAUCAACACAUAUCAAGCAGCAAUCAUAUUUGAAACUAUCGGCUUGACCCCAAUUCUGCCCUGCCACAUGCAAUGUUACACUAUGUAUUUGAUAUGAGAGUGGUAACAUUCAAGGAAUUAAGCAGCCAAGGUCAAAUGAAGAAUGAAUAAUCUGAAGAAAAUAAACUCAUUUUAGAAGUCCAAGCAUCAAGGAAGAACUAAAACGAGGGCUCACACGCAUUACCAUAGUCAGAUAGCUCAAUGGAAAGAAGAUUCAUACCUCAGCAGCCUUUCCUUGAAAAAGUGUGCUGGGAAGAACACCAGUGCGGUAAUACAAACUUAGGUAUUGAUUUAUCUGUAACAUAGUAUCAAUUGAAAAAAAAUCAAAAGUUGGGUAGGAUAUUUAGUUCAUUUAUGCAAGAUUAAGUAGUGGACCAUAUGACAAUCCUGUUAGGGGUUUUUGUGUCAUUUGUAUGGAAGGGAGAAGGAAUCAUAGUUGCGUUUCAAUGGCAGAAGUAUGAGCAAGAAGUUGAAUGAUAUUCGGCACUGAACCUUUGACAGGGAAAGGAACUGCUAACUCCCCAUUUUAUAUAUUAGUUUUAAACUUAAUUGGGUAGGGCCUAUCCCUCAAUGCUGCCAAAAUUUUUCUUCUUGGGAUUAAUCUUUGUGAUGAGGAGUUCGUUUCUAAAGCUAGUGAGUUGGGCUUCAAGGUUGAUAAAUUACCUUUUGUCUAAUUGGGUUUUCCACUUGCUGGGAAGGUCGCGGCUAAGGACGCCUAGGUUGCUCUUGAGGAGAAAUUUUAAAAAAAAAUUGAUUAAUGGUGUGGAUUGGUUAUUUCCAAAGGUGGUAGACUUACUCUUAAGUUUACCUUGUUACUUUUUCUCCUUAUUGAAGUCUUUGAAGGGUUCUAUUUCUCGUGUGGAAAAAGCUAAUUCAUGACUUUGUUUGGGGUGGUGGACUUGGUAAGCCAACCUCUCAUCUUGUCAACUGGAAGUCAACCUCUCUCUAUGAGAUUUAAAGGCAGUUGAAAAUCAGCUCUCUUAAUCGGGAGAAAUAUGCUCUCUUGAUGAAAUGGCUUUGGAGGUUUUGUCAUGAAGAAAACGCCUUCUGGAAGGAAUGUGAUUAGAGCUAUCUACGGUGUGGAGGAUCAUGGGUGGAGUUCUAUAAAGCCAAAAGACAAAAGCAGCUUCAGAUUACGAAAAUAGCAUUUUAAAACAAAAGGAACAAUUUGUUACCUUUGAUGAUUUUGUGGUGGCUGAUGGGAGACGCAUAAAGAUUUGGGAGGAUAGAUAGUGUGCUGCCCAACCUCCUGCUUCCUUGUACCAUGACAUCUACCUCAUUUCCUCAAAAAGAAUGAUGUGGUGACAGAUUGGGUUGAGAAGGAGAUUGUUUGAUAGAGAAAUUGGUAAUUAUAAUGCUCUUGGUCAACUGCUAACUGAUUGGGUGGUGAAUAGAGGAAAGGACAGCUUAUAGUGGAGGUUGGAAGCUUCGAGCUAGUUUUCUACCAAGUCUACUUUCCUCAAGUUAACCAAGGGGGCUACUAAAGUUAAACUACCUUCGGUCAAUCUGUUAGACCUCCUAUCAUACACCUACAAACGCAAGGGUAAAAAGGUGAUGGUUCAAGAAGGCAGCUCAGCCAAUUGAAUUAAAUGAAAAGAAUAUUUGGGUGUGGGGCCCACCUGGGGAGAGAGGUAUUUAAGGAAUGUUUUUAGGGAUUGGUGAGGUAGGUUUUAUUUUUGUAAAAAGCUGCGGUGAGAGCUUUUAGGGAGAAAACCAGCUUCUCGAAUUGCUGGGGUGUUGUUCUACUGUUUUCUUACUGUUGCCUUACUAUAUUUACCUUCUCUGUUUGAACUAUCGUUGUGAACGGUUCUUGUUGGUUUAUAUCUAUAUACAAAGAACUAAAGAAUAUCAUUUUUGUAUCUGUAUUGCGUUGAGUUUUUCUGAGUGCAGGGAAGUGUCUUAACAAAGUGGUAUCAGAGUCGCAAACAUCCUGGGAAGGACACGAGCAAUGACACAAAAACAGUGGGAGGAGAGAUUGGAAAUGAGUGAAGGAAAGCAGUCGAUCCAAACAUAGAGAAGAAUCGUGUGCCUCGAAGGGUUCUGGGCUUAAAAAGAAAGGAAAGGAGGGAGAGACGGACAUGAACUCAGUUUUCACUGGAGGAUCAUCGGAUUGAAGUAAAUACAAGAAGUUAGAGAUGCCUAUCUUCACAGGUGAUAAUCCGGAAUCAUGGGUCCAUAGGGCAGAGCAUUAUUUUGAUAUCAAUGAGUUGGCUAACGAGGAGAAAGUGAAAGUAGCCGUGAUCAGCUUUGGUCAAGACGAAGUAAACUGGUUCCGCUGGAGUAAUAACCGGAAGACAGUUACGUCUUGGGAGGAUCUCAAGAGAAGGAUGUUCGAACACUUCAAGACUCUCGGUGGAGGAAGUUUGGGGGCUCGUCUCAUUCGGAUUAAACAAGAUGGAUCUUACCCCAAUUAUUUAAAGAAAUUCUUGAACUAUUCGGCGCCGUUACCAGAGAUGGCGGAGAGCGUCCUCAUCGAUGCAUUUGUCACAGGUUUGGAGACGAAUCUACAAGCCGAAGUAUUAAGUCGUCAUCCAGUUACUUUGGAGGACUGUAUGCGUGAAGCCCAAAUGGUGAGUGAUUGUGACUUGGCAAUUAAGUUAGCCCUAAAUGAAUGUGGGAGUUAUGGGCCAAGGCCAUCUGAAGCCCAAACCCAGAUGGAAAAGAAAAAAAUGACGAUAAAUGCUGAAAAAAAAGAAGGAAAAAGCAGCGAAUACGUAAUGAAGCAAGUAUCGAUUCCGAUUAAGGGAAAUUAUUCGAGAGGAGAACCGUCGGUGAAACGCCUAUCGGAUAGCAAAUUCCGAGCAAGGCUUUGUUUUCGAUGUAACGAAAAAUAUUCACCAGGACACCGGUGCCAGGGCAAAACGAAUCGCGAGCUGAUGUUUUUUAUUGCGAAUGAAGAAGAAGAAUUGGAAGAUGUCAACAGGAAGGAGGAAGCCGAACUGGAAAUUGUUGAACUCGAAACCCUAGAAAUCAAGGGGGGAACAGAAAUAGCGCUUCGCACCAUCUUGGGGUUUACAUCAAAAGGUACAAUGAAACUACGAGGGACGAUGAAGGGAAGAGAAGUAAUUGUCCUCAUUGAUAGUGGCGCAACACACAAUUUCAUCCGUGAAGGAGUGGUUAAUGAGCUAAACUUACCAGUGGAGGAAAAAACAAAAUUCGGAGUGACUAUUGGCGACGGAACUGCACUGGAGGGAAAAGGGGUUUGCAAGAGAGUUGAGGUUAAGUUGCCGGAGUUAACAAUUGUGGCAGAUUUCUUAGCAAUCAAAUUGGGUACAAUUGAUGUGGUUUUGGGAAUGCAGUGGCUCAGCACGACCGGAUUCAUGGGGGUUCAUUGGCCGACGAUGACAAUGACGUUCAUGGCAGGAACCACGCAGGUGAUUUUAAAAGGGGAUCCGUCCCUUACAAAAACUGAAUGUUCCUUAAAGACGAUCUCUAAGACGUGGGAAAUGGAGGACCAGGGAUUUUUGUUGGAAUUCCAGAAAAUUGAAAUUGAAGAAAAUAAUGAGGACAGUGAAAGGGAGGAAGAGGGGGAUGAAGCAAAUUUACCUAUGAUUCGCAAGUUGUUGCAUAGGUUAAGGGGCUGUUCGAGAUGCCGAAAGAAUUACCUCCAAAAAGGGCAGUAGAUCAUCGAAUUCUGACUAUCGACGGACAAAAACCCAUCAAUGUGCGCCCUUACAAGUAUGGGUACAUACAGAAAGAAGAGAUAGAGAAACUGGUGACGGAAAUGCUUCAAGCAGGAAUUAUCCGGCCAAGUCGAAGCCCAUAUUCCAGUCCGGUAUUGCUAGUAAGGAAACGCGACGGUGGGUGGAGAUUUUGCGUAGACUACCGUAAAUUGAAUCAGGUGACUGUCUUCGAUAAAUUCCCCAUUCCCGUAAUCGAAGAACUGCUAGAUGAGUUACAUGGUGCUGAAGUUUUUUCCAAGCUGGAUUUGCGUUCGGGGUAUCACCAAAUUCGGAUGAAGGAGGAGGAUGUUGAAAAAACCGCGUUUCGCACUCACGAAGGGCAUUAUGAAUUUCUAGUUAUGCCUUUCGGGUUAACCAAUGCGCUGGCCACUUUUCAGUCCCUAAUGAACCAAAUUUUCAGGCCCUUCCUAAGACGGUUUGUGUUGGUCUUCUUCGACGAUAUCCUAAUCUAUAGUACUGAUAUUACCGAACACGAGAAGCACUUGGGAAUGGUGUUCAACGUAAUGAAAGACAACCAGUUAUUUGCCAAUGAAAAGAAAUGCGUAAUAGGGCACUCACGAGUUAAUUAUUUGGGACACUGGAUCUCUAAAAAAGGUGUAGAAGCGGACGGGGAAAAGGUGCAAGCAAUGGUAAACUGGCCCCAACCCAAAGAUGUUUCUGAAUUAAGGGGAUUCCUCGACCUCACGGGAUAUUAUCGAAGAUUUGUCAAAGGAUAUGGGAACAUUGCUGCUCCCCUGACCAAAUUGUUGCAAAAAAAUGGGUUCAAUUGGAACGAAGAUGCCACAUAAGCUUUCGAGUCCCUGAAACAAGCAAUGAUCUCGGUACCAGUCUUAGCACUCCCCGAUUUUUCCUUACCAUUUAACAUUGAAACGGACGCCUCAGGCGUAGGACUGGGAGCAGUUUCAUCACAGAAUGGCCGACCAAUAGCGUAUUUCAGGCAGAAAUUAUCUCCGAGAGCACAAGCAAAAUCUAUUUACGAAAGGGAACUGAUGGCAGUGGUAAUGGCAAUGCAAAAAUGGCGUCAUUAUUUGUUAGGGAGGAAAUUUACCGUACUGUCAGACCAGAAGGCACUAAAAAUUUUUAUUGAACAGAGGGAGGUCCAGCCCCAAUUUCAGAGAUGGUUGACUAAAUUACUGGGUUAUGAUUUUGAAAUUUUGUACCAACCCGGGCUGUUGAAAAAAGCAGCAGACGCACUAUCCCGCAUGAACCCUACUGUGGAAUUAAAUACUUUAAUCUCUCUGGGGCUGCUAGAUGUUGAGACGAUGAUGGAAGAAGUUAAAAGUGAUGAGGAAUUACAAGGAAUAAUUGAAGUCCUGAAGGAAAAUCCAGAAGGGAAAGCAAACUAUCAGUGGGUAUCAGACAAAUUGCUCUACAAGGGAAGGUUAGUCUUGUCGAAAACCUCUUCUCUUAUUCCAGCCUUACUCCAUACUUUCCACGAUUCAGUGUUAGGGGGCCAUUCGGGGUUUCUCAGAACAUACAAGCGUAUGAAUGGAGAGAUACAUUGGGUGGGCAUGAAAAAUGACGUAAAGAAAUAUGUCGAACAGUGUGAAACAUGCCAAAGAAAUAAAACAGAAGCACUCUCCCCAGCUGGAUUAUUACAGCCCCUACCUUUACCCAACUUAAUCCUCGAAGACUGGACGAUGGACUUCAUAGAAGGGUUGCCUAAGGCGGGAGGUUUCGAUAGUAUCAUGGUGGUGGUUGACCGACUAAGUAAAAUGGCUCACUUCAUUACCUUGAAGCACCCAUUUACGGCAAAGCAAGUUGCUGAAAAAUUUAUUGAAGAAAUUAUUAGCAAACAUGGGAUUCCAAACUCAAUAGUAACAAACCGGGACAAAGUCUUCUUAAGCCACUUUUGGAAAGAAUUAUUUACAGCCAUGGGAGCUUCACUGAAAAGAAGUACUGCAUUUCACCCUCAAACGGAAUCUUCUUAAGCCACUUUUGGAAAGAAUUAUUAGCAAACAUGGGAUGCCUCGAAACGUAUCUACGCUGUUUCUGUAACGAACAGCCUAUGAAGUGGCAUAAAUGCAUUCCUUAGGCUGAAUUGUGGUAUAACACCACCUUUCACUCGUCGGCAAAAACAACCCCGUUUCAAAUUGUGUAUGGGCGCCCCCCACCUCCGCUGAUUCUGUAUGGGGAUCGAAAGACCAAUAAUAACAGUGAAGAACAAUUAUUAAAAGAAAGGGAUCUGGUUAUUAGUGCAUUAAAGGAGAAUUUGUUGACAGCCCAGAAUAGAAUGAAGAAACAAGCAGAUCUAAGGCGUCGGGAACUGAAAUUCAAAGUGGGAGAUGAGGUUUAUUUGAAAUUACGACCUUACAGACAGCGAUCCUUAGCUAAAAAACGCUGCGAGAAGUUAGCUCCCAAGCUUUAUGGGCCCUAUCGUAUAAUGGAGGAAAUUGGGGAAGUAGCGUAUCGUUUGGACCUCCCACCUGACGCAAUGAUCCAUAACGUGUUCCAUAUUUCACAGCUGAAACUUAAGUUGGGUAAAAUACAACACAUACAACACCUACCACCUGCAUUGACUGAAGAUUUUGAGCUGCAAGUGGAACCGGAAGCAGUGCUGGGAGUUCGCUGGAACAGCGAGAUGGGAGCUAAUGAUUGGUUGGUGAAAUGGAAGGGGUUACAUGACAGUGAAGCGACUUGGGAAUCUGUUUAUGCGAUGAACUAACAGUAUCCUUCGUUUCACCUUGAGGACAAGGUGAGUUUUGAGCCCGACGGUAUUGUUAGACCUCCUAUCAUACACACCUACAAACGCAAGGGUAAAAAGGUGAUGGUUCAAGAAGGCAGCUCAGCCAAUUGAAUUAAAUGAAAAGAAUAUUUGGGUGUAGGGCCCGCCUGGGGAGAGAGGUAUUUAAGGAAUGUUUUUAGGGAUUGGUGAGGUAGGUUUUAUUUUUGUAAAAAGCUGCGGUGAGAGCUUUUAGGGAGAAAACCAGCUUCUCGAAUUGCUGGGGGUGUUGUUCUACUGUUUUCUUACUGUUGCCUUACUAUAUUUACCUUCUCUGUUUGAACUAUCGUAGUGAACGAUUCUUGUUGGUUUAUAUCUAUAUACAAAGAACUACAGAAUAUCAUUUCUGUAUCUGUAUUGCGUUGAGUUUUUCUGAGUGCAGGGAAGUGUCUUAACACAAUCCUAUUUGGAAACCGAAAGUUCCUUCGGUCCCUCGCCUAUAGAAGUCUCAACACCCAGGAAAAGCUCCAAAGAAAGUUUCCUGAUCGGAAUCUCUCCCCUUCCAGAUGUCCGCUUUGCCAGAAGGAGGCUGAGACUUUAGAUCACCUUUUUUUACACUGCAAGUUCACAUCCAAAGGGUGGAAUAGGAUUUUUGAGACUUUUGGGUUGGAUGGGAUCUCCGAUUGCAGGUUAAUGGCUGGAUGAUGGUGGGUUUGUAUGGGGGCAACUUUAGUGGAGAAGGAAAAUUUUUAUGGUGUUGUGCGACCCACACUCUCUUGUGCAUCUUUGGAAUGAAAGAAAUAGUAGGGUGUCUGACGAUAAGUUUAGCUCUUUUGAUUCUUUUUAGGGUUUUGUGCAGCAUACAGCUUCUUGGUGGUGUACAAACUACACUAAGUUAUUUUGUCAUUACAGCCUUCUCAUGAUUAUUAACCGAAAGGCGCUUAUUAAUUAGGAUUGUGUGUGUGUGUGUGUGUGUGUGUGUGUGUGGGGGGGGGGGGGGGGGGGGGGGGGGGGGGGCGUCCUCAACCCCUCGCCUUUAAGUUGUUCUCUUCUUGUUGAUAUAUAUAUAUAUAUAUAUCUUUCUCUGUUUCUUAUCAAAAAAAAAAAGAUUACACAUAAAAUAAACUGGCAGCCUUACUUUUCUGUGGUUAUUAGGGUGGAUUCUGUUAGCCGAAACUGGAUCAAUCUCUUUAAGAUGGUUAUGGUCAUACUUCAAACCAUCUCUGCACUCAUCCAAAUCAACACCCAGCCCUUCAUCUCCUGGAAAAACAUGAAUAAAAAAAUUAUUUUAAACACCAGAUCCAUACAAAUACUACUAAUAAACAUAAACCUGUAGAAUUAGAAAUUACCAGGAUAAAUGGAACAACCUCCACCAACAUUUUCUGCAGAAUCAUCCAGAAGAAACGGACUAACAAGAGCCUGCAUGAGAAAUAGAACAUGGUAACUUGAUGUACUAAAAUAAUAUAUAAAUAUAAGGAAAAUCCACAGAAAAGAAUGAUUAGAAGUUAAGCAUGAAGUCUCAAAUCUCCCAAACGAAGAUAAACAGCUUCUAAGAGCAGUCAUAACAUGAUUUGUAUCAUAUGAUCCAAAUCGAAACAAAGGGCAAACAAGUUAAAUCGCAUGUAUCAGAUGAUUCAAGAUAUUGAAUCAUGUGACUCGUUCUUGAAUCGGUAAAAGAUAAAAUAUCAUUCUCAAGUUGCUGGGACAAGAGAAGAAAACCCUGGGGAGUGGUUAGCAUCAAAAUAGUGUGGGUAAAAAAUCACGAAACAAGUGUGAUGGAAGUCGAAUGUAGUAAGUAAUUUCUAUUAUUAUUGAUGAUACUAUAGGAAUGAAUUCCUUGUUACAAUAUCAAAUAAUCCUCUCCUGCUAUCCUCUCUUUCAAGGAAGAACAGAAAGAUCUCUCCAAACUCAAAACAUAACUAACUUUCCCGCCCUCUUACUAAUUUUUAUUUAUACUAACUACUAACCCUUCCCCUUGCCAAUUCUCACGUGUCAUUCACAUGCACGUGUUACUUCUUUUUCUCUCUCCUGCUACCCAUUCUGUUCUUGUCAGCAAUAGAAGAAAAUAAAAUAUGAAGGUUUAAGGAUAACUGAUGAAGAGUGUGGAAGAAGAAAGAAGAGGGAGGGUUGCAAUAAUAUUUUUUUAAAAGGAAACAAAAUUUACUGAUAAAAUUUGCGGCAUGAGCUCAGAUGGUAGAUACAGAGAGACUCAAUAGAUACAAUCAAAAAAUAGACAAUACACCUGGAGAUUCAGUGAAUACCGAAAAGAGGCCAACCAACAUGAUAUCAAAACAUAAAUUACUAGAAAAUAGUGGUAUUGGUUAGAGGUUAUAAACACAUUCCAAUUGAGGCAAAUGUCUUGGAUCAAGAAGUCUCCAAAUAAUUUAGAUAAGGAGCACCAUGAGAAGCAAGUAGGCGAGGCUGAGGCAAAAUGAUUUGACUGUUCAUAAAAUUUAUGAUGAAAAAACUCUUUGUUUUCGUUUGAACCAGAAUUCUGAGAGAAAGGCUUUAACCGCAUUAGACCAUAGCGUUUGUGCUUUAGGAGGUAAGUGUGGACCGGUGAGUACUUGAAGCACAAGGAAGGGUUGCAACAGUGUUUCCCAAUUUCCAUUGAAGAAGAAAGAGAGUCACAGGGAAAAUGAAAAGACUAUUGAUUUGAGACACAAUUUGAAUCAAAGGGCAAACAGUUUCUUCCAGAAAUCAAUACAUCUCAAAUCAAAUUAAUCAAUAGUCUUUUUAUUUCCCUUGUAACUCUCUUUCCCCCUCGAUAGAAAUUCAGAAACAGGACAGCAGCCAUUCCUCUUAUUUCUUCUUCCACACUCCUCAUCAGUUCAUCUCUGAAGCUUCAUUUUCAAUUUUCUUCUAGGUUCUAAUAGACGACAAGGACAGUUUUUCCAUGAUUUUUUUAUCCAAACUACGUUGACAACAACCACUACCAGUCCACAAGGUUUUCUUCAACAGCAUCAUAGCAACUAAAAAAUGUUUUGAUUCAAGAAUAAGUGGCACGAUUUAGUAUCUCAAAUCACGAUACACAUAACUUCUGAUUCAAGACCACAAUUUAAAUGGUUUGCCCUUUGAUUCAAAUUGUAUAAUACAUAUCAUGUAUCAUAUGUUUUUAACAACAUUGAUUACACCUUGCAUUUUUACUUCUCCGGUCAAAUGAUCAAAUUUCAAGUACAAUGCCAAAAACUAGGUCAAAAGAAGAUCCCCAAAGACAUGUUCUAAAAUUUCAAAAAUCGGCUUUAUGAUGUCCAAAAAUUUCCUUCAACUACAUGACAACAGUCUUGAACGUGAACAAUUACAAGAUUUUGAACAAUAAAAUCCUUGCAGCUUUAAGCACUCAAACUAUCGCAUUCAUCAUUAGAUGACUGACAUUUUCUUACCUGUAUAUAAUAAUUUGUUCCACCCACUAUCAUUGGCAAGCAUCCACGAGAAAUUAUGCCAUCAAUAACCUGCAAAAUUAAAAUGCAGAAUCAAGACAAAACUACAUAAAUAACAUUAAUCAGAAGGGAAAAAAUCAGCCCACACUUCAUAUAAACGAUAAGAUUAAUAUGCUACAAACAGCACAGGACUGUUGAGUUACUAACCAAAAAGGUAGUCUAUCCAUUGGUCCUCUUCAAGUAUUUUAUAACACUCUAAUGUUAGCUAUUAAAUUCUGAGUAGACAAUUAUUAAGUUACUAACCACCUUCUCUUCCUACAACUCGAGUAAGAAACCAACAUUCCCAAAUGAAUCUAACUAUUAAAUUGCCCUGGUUCUUCUCCUUUCCCUGUAUUCCACAAGUAUUGUGUAGGACCAAGGAGAACCCUAGCCUCCUAUACGUUUGAAUGAGACCAGCAACUUCAGUAUGAUAACAGGAUUACUUGAGAAAUUUAACUUCUUGAUCUUAAUUGAGGAAACUAUUGACCAUGUUCAGAACUAGAAGAAGAAACUGAAGCUUUGUAAAAGCUCAUCGACUCAUAUCAUUGAAGAAUAGCAAUAGAAAACUACAAUAGAAUAGGACAAGUACAUUUUCCGACCACGCUAGUUUCCAUUUGCAACGAAAUAAAAAUUGCCACACAUCAAUUUUCAACUCUUUCAACUUAAAUCUCAGAGAAUACGCAAUGAGCCCUAGAAGCAAAAACCCUUUGGCGCGAUACAAUGUUAUAGCUAACUUACAUGAACAGCAGAAUUUCGGAAGUCUUUAGCCGUGAAUUCAACGUCUGGACUCACCGUACCUAAAAGAUGAUGCGGUACUCCUAGAAAACGAAACCCAUUAAGAAACUCAAAUCAGAAAUCAAGAGCAACCAAGGGAAGCACGGGUUCACCAAUAAUUGGAGAGAAUAGCAUACAAAUGGAAGUAACUAACUGACCAUUUUGAUCUUCGGGGGGAACUUUGUUUGUGAGAACGUCUAAACCUCGAUAAACCUGCAUAGAGUCGGCGUUGAUGAUCUCGACGGGGAAGUAAGAAGCCAAAUCAAUAGCGAGACGUGACUUCCCAGAACCAGUCGGCCCCAUAAUCACGACCACCUUCGGUUUUUCUCCUCCCAUAUUCAAAUUUGCAGACACCGUUCGAGUGCCUCCGUUUACGAUGGCCAUCUCUUCACCGGUGAGUCAAUUUUAGACCAUUUGUACCAUUCAAGGGAUCUCUUUGAGAAAUUUGGACGGAUGCCCUCCCACUUUCAAAUUCAAAUGACUAAUAGUCUUAUGUUAUGUGAUCUUAUGCUAUGUCAGCCACUGAGAAUUUACCAAAUUGACUUCAUCCACAAGCGAGGUCAAUUCGCUAACAAUUUCUUUUCGGUUCUUUCUCUCGUGUAUGUAUAAAGAUUUAGACAAAAUUAUCUUCAGCUUCAAGAUCCUAAGUUUUUCAAAGAACUCACGUAGAGUUCUUCGGAAUUCUCUCAAUUUUCUGCUAAAAAAUCUUUGUCCAACUCGCCGAAGAAGCGCGGGUUUGUUCCCGUCGGUCUGAUAUUUGAAUAUGGACUUCUCUCCUAAUCUUCAUCAAGAAAUGAUGAGGAUUUUUUUUCUUUUUUUUUCUUUGUGAGGUUUUUUGAAAACCUUAUUUGGUGGGUUUUGAGUUUUGUGAGGGAAAAUAGUCGGAGACUAGUAGAAGAAAUGGGAGACUAGUAGAAGAAAUGCAUUAAUAUUAUGAACAUAAUCUUAGGCCUCUUGGCCACAUAGUACAUUUUACAACUUAAUACAUGAAAAUUAUAAAAUGGUAUACAAAGAAAUUAGUCAAGCUUCAGAGUAUGAUUUCUCACUCUUCGGAUCUAAUUUUUGUUUGUUUUAUGAGAGGGAAAUAGUGGGGGAAGAACUCUCUUAUUCUUUUGUUCUAAGCUAUCACUUAUAACUUAAAACAGAAAGAAUGGAAGAUAGAGUGAGCUUGCUCUCUCCAAUUUUGCACACCUUGCUCUGAAGUAAAUGCCUUUAUUUAUAGGUGGGGAGUAAUGUUGACAGAACAUUCCACACUUUAUUAAUGCUUCUGACAAAGCUACAUCAACGUCGCACAAACGUCUUUUUGUCCUUUUCUGACAUUUGCAACAACCAAAUUUGUCUACUAGUACUUUAGAUCACCUAGCUCAUUGCGAUCGUCUCCUAGUUGGUUGUGUGUCUCAUUCUCUAAUGUUUGGUUGUCAUGCAUUAUAUGAGACUCAUUUCUAAUUUGAGUAAAAUCUGGAUAAGUGUUUUAACAUUUGCGUUUUGGUUAAGAAGUUGGAGUUUGAACCAAUUCACGAAAAGGAUUAAGUGAUAAAAUUUUAUAUGGUUAAGUAGAAGUUUUUGUGAUUUAAAACUUAGUUCAUGAGGAAGUUUUGAGAAAAGAAGGACUUGUAGUAGGAUCUAUAUGUCUAAACGCUCACAAGAGAAAGAGUCUUCACGAGAAAGUUAGGUAGUCUGCGAGAAGAGUUAUGCGUUAAAACUUUCGAAAGUUAUGUUAAGCGGUUAAAACUAUUCGCAUCAUGGAGUUAGGCGAGAAGAUGUAAAUUAUGAUUUAACAGGGAUAACAUGUAAGAUUAUGAAUUCAAGCAUGACUAAGAUAAAUAUUAAUUUUAGAAGUGUAAAAUUUUAAGUAGGAGCUAGCAAUUGGACAAUGAUUUAAGGAUGACUAAUUCAACUUAAAGAAUAGUAUAAAUAAAGGAUUUAGGUCACUAAGUAAGGAAGAUUUUUCUGAAAAUUUUGAAGUGUUGAAGUGUUGCCAUUUUGUUUCUGCGAGAAGGCUACGCGAUAAAGAAGAAGAAGAGAUUUAUGGUUCUAAGGCUAAGUAUAGUGAGUGAUCUUUUCUUAAAAGUAUUUAUAUGAUUUCAAACAUGUUUCAUAAUGUUUAAAGUUUGAUUUGAUGACUAUGAUAUUGAUUAAGAAAUGGUUUUCAAACCAUUAGUUGCUUCCUUGAAUAAGCUAAUUGUUAUGUGCAUAUAAGGUUAAAUGCAGCCAUGUAGAAAAGGCAUGCAUGGUGAGUGAAGUCGGCCAAUGUAAAAAAGGAUUGCAUUGUGUUAGACGACCUAAGCAACAAGGAAAAUAUGUAUGUUCUCAUAUGCUAUUGAUAUAGUAGUCUAAACGUGAGGUAAUGAGAUCAAGCGUAGAGAACAAUUUGAGAUCCUUGGCGAAGGGAAUAAUUGUGACUAAUGGGUGUUUAUGCUAAAUGCAUUUUGAUGUGAUUUGCAAGUUGAUUUGAUUCUAUUGUAAAAAUGAUUAUAUGCAUUUUGAUAUGUUUUGAGAAAUUAUGUGUUUAUUGAUAAACUUAUUUGUGUUAAAAUGUAUGUUUUGGGGAAAAUGAUUUAUGGAAAGAUAUUGCGAAAACCUCACAAAGUCUUUUAGCCUUAUGUUUUAAAAUUUCAUUUUCCAAGAUCAGACAUUUAUGUCAAGUAGAGAAGAAGGUUGAAGGACGCGGCUUGCAGCGAGUUAGACAAAACUAUGAGGCGUUGUAUGAAACGCAUGUUGUUAAUAAAGCCUAUAGCGAUAUUUUAGAUUCAAAAUAAUUAAGUAUAUAACAAUAUUUUAAAAAAUUUGCAAAUAUAGCAAAAUUUGUCCAAUUCUAUCAAUGAUAAAAGUCUAUCACCAAAUAUGGUCUAUCAUUGAUACAUCAUAUGAGUCGAUCAACGAUAGUUUUGGUAUAUUUGUAAUUUUUUUAAAAUCUUGUUAUAUCCUUAAUUAUUAUUGCUCAAAUGACCAUCAAUUACAAUUACAAAAAAAAGUAAUAUAUUUGUUUUCGAUUUCUUGAUGGGUUUAGAAUUUUAUUGAUGGGUUUAGGGUUUCUUGAUGGAGAAAGACAAAAAAAAAAAAAAAAAAGAAUGCCCGUUAAGAAGCUUUUUUUUUUUUUUUUAAUUUUAAUUAUGGGUUUAAGAUAAGACCUUGGGCAAGACCCGUAAAAAAUGAAAUCUUAAUGGGCAUUGCUCCUUAAGAAAAAACUAUUUCCUUGCACAAAAUUUGGACCUUUGUUAACAGGUUUAGAAAACACGAUAUUUAUCAAUAAUAUUUUUAAAGCUACUUUUUUUUCCAAUUAUUACUGUCUAUACAUCAAUAAGACAAUAUUACUUUUUAGAAAAAGUUAACUGAUAUAAUUAUAAUUAGAUUAAAAUAAGUUACUUUAUCAAAAUUAAAUUAGUUAUUGUGUUCAACUUUAAUGAGUUGAAUUGAAAGUUUGUAAUUUAAGAUUGGUAGAAGUUGUAAAACAUGAAUUUAACUCAACCGACACCUGUAUAUAUCUGUAGAUAAGAGGUCUCAAGUUCAUAUGAGGAAAUCAAGAGCGUAAAGAUGUCAAUUAGCACAAACCUAAGGUAGGUGUGAGAAAAUAAAAGAAAAUCUAUUCUUUUUUUUUCAUAAAAUAGAAAAAAAGAAUAAGUCAUUUAUUACAUAUUUUGGCCAUCAAGAAAACGAUUUUUUUAUGGAUUUUUCAAUUUCCUUAAUGGGUAAAAAACAUCAAAGUCACCUUUUUUUAAUGGUCAAUACGUUUUUUUUAUGGUUGGGCUUUCUUGAUGUAUGUCUACUUGAUACUUGAUUGGCAAAGACUAUCAAGGUAGACAUUUUUUAAUGUGUUUUGCAUAUCAAAGAAGGUCAAAUUUGUACUGGUGAGGGCAGAUUUAUUAAGGAGUCGGAGUAUGUGCCCCCUUACAUUCUUGAUUUUUGUAUUUUAAUAUUAAUUUUGAAGUGUUAAAUUACAAUAUAUAUUAAAUAAUCUUUACUAAAUUCUGGUUCCGGUAUAGUGGUUGUGCCCCUCCUACAAAACCAUAAGAUUCUAGGUUGAUCCAAACUUCCACUCUCUUAGCAAUAUUCUAUGAAAAUGUAUUAUUCUUUUUUUCUUUUUUUUUUUUUUUUUGUUUUUAAUGCAAUUUUUAAAUUCACAUAUUUACAUUACAAAAAAUCAUGUGAAAAUUAUCAGUUUUUCUUUAUUGCUACAAAUGUAAUAAAUGUUAUUGGAGCAUUAGUGAAACAUCGAGAUAUUUUUUUUACAUUUUUAAUGUGUUUAUUAUAGAGUGUUUGAUGUCACUUUGUAUAAGAUUUAUGGUUCUGCCACUGUCAAUGAUAGAAACGGUCUAUAAAUGCCAUUAAUAGAAGGAUAUUAGUGUCUAUCAAUGUGUAUUAUUGAUAGAAUCUGAAAAUUUUACUAUAUGUUUUAAAUAUUUUGUCAAAUUUAUUAUUUUUGACAAUUUCCCAAAUUUCUAUUCCUGAUUUUAAAUUUUCCAAACAUUUCUUCCCUACAAAAAGUAAACAACAUGACUAAAUGAAGUUUAAAUACGUUUAAGAUGGUGACUUAUUACGAUUAGUCUAUCAAUAAAAUUUUGUUUUAACUGAACCAUUUUUUUUUUAUUAGAAAGGUGGCCAAAAUCCUUAUAUUCAUUUUGGUGUUUUGUUAACAACUGAUAUAUGAAAACAAAAACAAAAAAAUCAAAAUUAAAAACAAAAACAAAAAGAUUAAAAAUUAAAAAGAAUGGUGAGUGUUGGAUGCAAUGGGUAGCAUCCAAGAGAGUGGAGAUAUUUUUGCUCAAACGAGACCAAAUUCUUGAGAUACAACUUGAUCGUUGAUAUUUCCGCCUAUAACAUGACACAUGGACAAUUAGCUAAAAUGACAGUCCACAGGUGGCGCCACCUCAACCUAAAUCCCAUAACUCGUAAUUCUCACAACUACCAGCACCGUCCGUUCUACGUCUUGGCCAUCCCAGAUUACAACACGUGGAUCUAAACAGUGGUGACGGUUAGUUUAAGUAUCUUCAAAUAACAGCCGGUUAAGAAUUAGCGGGGUUUUUGUCACCCUCACUGUUCAUUAUCUUCUACUGCAAAAUUCCAGUCUCCUCGUUCCAGCCUCACGAACCUUGGCGAGUGUGAAGGGGUUUUGAUUUGUUUCGUCAAGGUUCUCCCAUGGAGUCGAUUGGUUGUAGUUUGAGUUCUUUAUCGUUGGCUCCUUUCAGGGCGAAGAGUUUUUCGGUUCAGGAGAUGUUAUUUGGGCCUUGCCGGAGACCUUCAUUGCCGAUACUUCAUGCAUCGGUGGCUCAAAGCUUUCCCGAGCUUCGAAAAUCUACUUCUAUUGCUGCUAGUGGUACCUUGAUGGCCAAUUCCGUGCCGGUGUGUUGUUCUUUCUGUUUUUUUCGUCUUUUUAUGUGUUAGUAAUGGUGGAUUCGAGUUGCUUGAUUUUUUUUUAUUUAUUAAUCCAUCAAUAGAGAUCUUUAUAGAGAAGACACUUUUCUUUAUUUUCUAUGACAUCUUCUGGUCUUGCUGGAGAUGUGAAAAGGAUGGGAAGCAUGUUGCUGUUUUAUUGAAUAACCGCAUUUCUCUAACUUGUUCUAAUCUUUUAAUUUUUUCCAGGGUGUUAAGAAAUUUAUUCUUCUCUUUUUAAAAUCUUUAUAUGCAGUCUGGAACUGGUGUAUACAUAGUUGGUGACUUUAUGACUAGGAAAGAGGAGUUGCAUGUUGUGAAGCCCACAACCAGUGUUGAUGAAGGUAGUUGAAAUUUGUGAAUAUUUUCGUCCAACCUAUUGGCAAAAUGUGGCUUAUUGUGUCUGUUUAUUCAUACAGCAUUAGAAAUUCUGGUGGAGAAAAGGAUCACAGGAUUUCCAGUUAUUGAUGACAAUUGGAAAUUGGUAUCAUUUCAUUUCCCAUAUUUAUUAGAGACAUUUCUUUACUGUAGUUAUGUUUUAUUUUGUUGGCCUCUUUGAAGUAUUUCUGGUUAUCUAACAUCCACAUAUUGCCCCACAAAAUGUUUCUCUGAAGUUGUUGAGUUUUGUUCAGGAUUUUGCAUCAAAUUGUUUACUUGAAUUAUCAAGUUUUCACUUUUCCACUAUGACUUGUAUUACCAUGAGAGAAUCCAAUUUUUUGUCUGUUUCUCAUCAGAAUUAAACUGGGAAAGCAUAUGUGUUCACCCAACAAUUUGUUUUGAAUGUCUUAUUGAACUUGCGACAGAUGGUACUCAUGUUGCUUAUUGCUCUAUACAAGUCAAUCCUUUCCCAUUUUUUUCAGUUCCUGUUCAGGACUAAUGCAACCUUUAGUGCUUAUAAUCUGUGUGAAUGAAGGUCUGAUGUGUUCUUUUUUGUGUUUAUAUGUAUGUGUGCGCUCCCUCAGACACCAUUAUCUGAAUUAUCAAUGAAGAGUGUGGUUGAUUUAAAUGGCCCAAUGAUACUUAAUCAUCGAUGCUCAUAAUAGAAAUUACUUCUUGAUGCAGGUUGGUGUAGUUUCUGACUAUGACUUGUUAGCACUAGAUUCCAUCUCAGGUAAGUUGUCUUUUAUCUUUGGUGAUUACUUCGUCAUUAGCUCCAAUUCUUUUUCAGAAAAGAAAAGAAUUUAGCUUUUCUAGAUUUUAUAUUUCGAUAACUCAAGUUUCUAUGCUCCACACUCUAUACUUGUUUGAAAGGUUAGUAUUGACUUUUUUGCAUGUAUUGAUUUUUUCCCAAUUUUUUCUUUAUAUGAAAGAUAGAUAGUAUCAUUUCAUCAACUUAACGAGCAAAUAUUUGCAGUUAGGAAAGAGGGUGAAGAAUUUGGCUAAGUCUUGAUUGUUAUUGUGAAAUUUGAGAAGCAAGAAUAAAGGUCAAAAUGUCAUUUUUGUUUCUGUAAUUUGGGUUCCAUUUGAUUUUAGUUCCUACACUUUAAAAAAAUAUAAAAUUUAGUCAUUUAAAAUUAAUUUUUAUCCAGAGUGAUUAAAUAAUAAUAAUUUUCAUGGAAGUGAACUAAAUUUAUUGAUAGUACAUGAACUAAAUUUGGCAUAUGUGGAAGUAUAGGGAUUAAAAUGGAACGAAUCCUUAAGUGCAAGGACCAAAAUUAUAUUUUAACCACAAUUAAAUUGUCUUGCACCAAGAAAAUACUGAUUUACUUCUCUAUUAGAAAUGGACAAAUGGUUGUAGAGGUGUGGAUAUUGCAGAUUUUUGGUCUUGUAAUCUGAAGAAAUUGGUCCGUCUGCACUUUUAUAAGUUCAAGUAUAUUACAGUGAUAAAAUUUUCAAUUGUUCUAAUUAGGUGGUGGAAGGACAGAUACAAGCAUGUUUCCUGAAGUUGACAGCUCGUGGAAAGUAUGCAAUGACCUCCUUUUUCUGUGUGUUUAUUUGUAGUUCUUUUGUUGAACCUUUUGCCAUCAGUGUUCCUGAUGACCUUCUUUGUGCAAUAAUUUCAACCUGAGUAUUAAAUGAAAUAGAAAACUUAGUACUUUAUAAAAUUAGAUUACACAUUAAAUAGAAGUUACUGUAUUAAUCGCUCAAGCCUUUCAAUUUUACAAGACCAUACACAGCUCAGGUUAGCAAGAAGCAUGAAUUUAAGUUUACUGGUCAAAUAUUUCAGCUUCAUGCAUAGUGUUUAUUGCUUAUGCCUCAGUGAGCUCUGACAUAGGCGUUGGUUUGUCUCUUCAUUUGAGCUUUUCAUUCUUUUUUCUUGCUUAUUAACGUCAGUGUUGAAUUUGGCAAGAGGGAUAUGAAUAAAACUGUGCACAUAACCGAAAUAGUUUUGUUUUCUCCUACUUUUCAUAAUUCGGACUUCUAAUUAAUGUUAAUCUGUUGGUUGGUUGCUUAUUUCAAUUGCCCACCUGCUACUUGCUAGUUUGUAGAGGACAUGAAAUGGAAAUAUUCUGCACAAAUGAUGUCUCUAAUCCUAAAUCAUCCUUGUAGACAUUUAAUGAGGUACAAAGGCUUCUAAGUAAAACUAAUGGAAAGGUGGUCGGCGACUUGAUGACAACAGCACCUCUUGUUGUUCGAGAAAUUACCGAUCUCGAGGAUGUUGCUAGGUUCAGAAACACUUUUCUCCACUGUUUCCAUGUCAUAUCAUUUUUGUCCUUGCACCUGAAACAGUGUUCUAUUCAUCAAAUGCAGAUUAUUGCUUCAGACGAAAUAUCGCCGGCUUCCUGUGGUCGACGCGGAUGGAAAGCUGGUAAGAGAACAUUCACUAUUGUAAUUUGAAUUUAAUGGUUGUUCUCGUAGCGUGGAAUGAUGAAAUCUUUAAUGAAGGUUGGAAUUAUCACAAGAGGAAACGUGGUAAGAGCUGCUCUACAAAUUAAGCAUGCUGAAGAAAACAGAAAAUGAUUUUCCUAUAGGAAGAAUCAGAGUCAAUCUGAAUGCUGUUAGCACAGAGGGUUCUGAAAUGCAAUCAUACAAUUUUGGCUUAUGAUUGUAUAAACAUUACACCAUUACCUAAACAUGAAAGACAAAAAUGCAUUGUGAUGGUCAAAUGUUAAGUCUCUCAUCAACCCCUCCUUUCUUUUCAUUUCUUUUCUCUUUGCUUCUAUAUUUUGAAUCCCAAACUUGGAUCGUCCUUGUCAUUUUGGUGUAUUAUAGUUGGUCAUUUAAGGAAGGUGUAUAGAUGUUGGGGCUAUUGAGUGGAGAUUAAACUACAAGUCUAUUUCCUAAAUUGGAAACACUUUUUGUUUGUGUGAAAUAUGUGAAUUGUGUCCAAUAGAUUUCUAGCACAUUCAGAUGGCCCAACAUUUAUCAUUAAUUUGUAAAUAUAGCAAAGCAAAGUUUAUCCUGCAUGUGAUCUAUCAUCAUAAACUUCAUUUCAACAUCUCUUUUAUGUUUUAAAAAUAUUGUUGAAUUGGUCCAGCACAUUGCAAAGGAGUGGGGUUAGUAGAGUUGAAAGCUUUUUGGACUUUUUUUUUUUGUAGGUUAAAAUAAAAUAGGUGUUUGUAUUUUGUAUUUCGUUUUAUUUUAGUUUUAUACUUUAAAUUACAAUAAAUUUUAAAGUUAGCCUGAGUGGUCUAUACGAGUCAUUUUUCUUUAAAUUGUUAUAAUUUUAAAGUUGUUAUUCUUUAACCAAUAUCAAUAAAUAAAUAGUAAAUUAUUAAAUUUAGCUUAGGAAAAUAGCAAAAUAAAUAUAAAAUUAUACAAAUAGUAAAGUAAAAAAAUAUAGAAGGUAAAAAAUAACUUUACCCAAUCUAAAACUUCAACUUUCAAUUGAAUGGUUAGAGUAACCACACAAAAUAAAAACCCUCUGAAUACACUGUAAUCAAUAAAAAUUAAAUUAACCUAAUUAACUUCUCCAAUAUUCUCUCAUUUUCGAUUUUUUAUAUUUCAAUAUCAAUUUUGAAGUGGUAGAUUACAAUAUAUACAAAAUUUAGCUUCAUUCUUUCUAAAUUUUGUUUUACUGUAGUUCAAAUCUUGUCUAUCAAUGAUUUUAUAAAAAAAGGAUAUCAUAUUUACUAGUGAUUUUGUAUAGAAAGAUAUCAUAUUUACUAGUGAAAUAUCAAUAUAUUUUUUUAAACAUUUUUUAGUGUGUUUAUUAUACAAUGUUUGGUGCUCCUUAUAAAAUUUAUGGAUACAACAUUGUUCUCUCCGUCUCUUUGCGAGUGAAAUCUUUAAGUUUUCUCAUAACCUCUAUUUCCAAACUUGAACCAAGAUAAAGAAGCCUCCAUUGAAGACGAAUAAUAUAGUUUGUUGGAUCCAGUUGUAUUGAUCAUCCAUCGUCAUCCAAACAAAAAAAAAACCUCAAUUUGCAAGAGUGUCAGUUGAAGAAGUCAUCCAUUGAAGCGGUUGUAUGCCGUCUAGAAAACCUACGUUGAAUUGUGGUUGUCACUAUUCGCUCAACUCAGCCGCAUCCAAUCGUUUGUCGUUCAAUAAACAAUUGUCUGUCAUAUGGCAUUUACUUUUGAAACGAAAAAUAGCAAAACGUAUGAAGAAGAUAAAUAUGGGGGCAACCAGAUAAAUAGCAAAUUAUUAACUUUAGUUUGUAAAACUAAAAUAACACCUCACAAAUAGAUUUCCCUACAUUUGUAGGAGCCACCGACAUAACAAGAAUAUUAGACCUUUAGCAAGGAUAUUUAUUCUGAUACGUAUGAAGAAGAAUUAGAGAUAUGAAGAAAAAAAAAGUAACGAAAGGAAGAACAAGGGUCAGUGAAAAAUUGAGGGUUGCUGGAAUUAGUGGUGAAAAAAGCAAGCAACCAAAGACCCAAUAAAUCUCACCAGUGAAGAGGAGGUAAGUUUCUACAUACAAUGACUUUGAGAACGAAAACACUAACAAUAUUUUCACAAUAGAAAAUGGAAGACACAAUGGUUGGAUCAUUGAUAGCAAAACGUGGUAUCGAUUGAAAUACAAAAUAAAAAAUAUAUAAGUGAGAUGAAUUUAUAAAAGAAGGCAAUGAUCCCCAAAGAAAACGAGUAAAAAAAGCAUGGUAAUACAACAAUAUGAGACGUUUGGGCUAAAUAGUGAGUUAUAAUAGUAUGUAUAUUAUAUUAGUCUGACUUAUUAUAGUUUUGUGGUUGAGAUUAUUAUAAUAUGUGUUUAGGGUAGAGAUUAUUAUAAUAUGAGUUUUUUACUGCUCUUUGUUUGUCUAUUAUAGGUGUACAUGAGGUUUUUUUUUAAUUGAUUUUAUUAUAACUUUUUAAUUAUGAUAUUCUCUUGAUAAAUUUAAGUUCCCAUUUGGUUUUUAUAUAUGAAAUACACUUUUUUUUUAUAUAUAUAUAUAGAUGGGACAUGAUUUGAUCUAAGGAAUCCUUUUAUUAGUAUUAUUGAGGUUAAUAUUAAUAUCCAUCUAUUAUAUACUUUUAUUAUCAUAAUUUUUUUUUUCAUAUUUUUGUAAACACCCUUCUUAUUAAUGAUCUUAAAUUAUUUGGGUGUUAUCUUAAAGAUUGGAGCUAAAAUUAUUGGAUUAAGAUAAUUCAUAUUGGAAUUUUUAUGAAAAUCUAAAAUAACUUAUUUAUUUGAGAAGAUUUGAUUAAUUAAAAGAAUCGAACAUUAGAGUUAAUUUGUGGAGUAUUGAAUUGAUUUCAACGUCAAAUUUUGGUAAGUUAAUUUGAAAGAAAUUGUUAGUUUUAUUAAAUAAGUAGUUGAUUUUCACUUAUAGUUUAUGAUAAUUUUAUUGGAACACUUCGACUAUCAGCUAGGGAAUAGUUGUUAGCUAAUCUCUCAGGUAAGAUAUUCUACUAUUAAACCUUUUGAACUAAAUUUAAGAGCUAGCAUGUAUUUUGUGAUUAUGCAUUGAUAGUAGCUAAAAAACAUAAUGAGAUGUUGUAGUUGAUGACUGAUGUAUUAUGGCAAUUAUGCAUGUUUUAUGGACUGUUAUGUUUGGUGCUUCAUGCUAUGCCUUAUGAUUAUUACAUGCUUUUCGACUAUGGUGUCUGUUGAAUUUGGUUAUUGUUAGGCUUUGUACCUCACAUGUACUGUGUUCCUACCACGGGAUCACUCAUAGAACUAUGAGUGUUUCUACGAUAAACUACUCACACGAUUAAGGAUGUACCUACGGAUCACAUGCACAGGUUAUAGAUCAUUUGUAUUGUGUUCAUAUAGGGUCACUCGCACAACUAGAAGUGUUUCAACGGGAUCACUUGCACGAUGAGAGGUGUUCCUACAGGAUCACUCGCACGAUUAUGAUGAUUUCUACUUACCACUCACUUAGGUGUACUUCAUUGGACACAUGACAUUAUUAUUACCUUAUGGUAUCUCAUAAUGGAAAGUUAACAGAUCAUCCAGAGGAACUAGUGGUGGGCCCCUUACUAAUAUUUUAUAUAUUCACAGUUUUCUGAGUUUAAUAUUUUAGACAAAGGUUGAGGAUUUGGAAAGUUCAGGAGCACGCGUGACAUGCCAUAUGAGGAUCUCAUUUUGCAUUUUCUUCGUUAGUUUGGAGUGUUUUGCUUUUAAAAAUUUUAUUUAAAUUUUUACCUUAUAUUUAUCUAUAUUUUAAAAAAAAUUAUAGAACCCGCCAAUAUGUUUUCAUAUUAAUUUUAACUGAUUUUGCCAAUUUAUAUUUUACAAAAAGAUAUUUGAAAUUAUUUUAAUAAAAUUUGAGUUUUCGAAGUAUAAAUGAUUAGUUAACUUUUAGUUAAUGAUCUCAAUUUAGUACAAGGGGUCGAGCCAUUACAAAUAUUGUUACUGCCAAUUAAUUCAUUGCUUAACGUUGGCUACUGCAUCAUAGGUCAUCUUCUUACUAUAAAACUUUCCAUUUGUGCCUUCUAUUUGCAUCUUUUUUUAUUAUUCUAUUGCUAAUCAUACUCUUAAAUACUGAUUUAUAUGUUUAAAACUAACGUUUAUAACUUCACCAAAUAGUUCACAAUGUUCUUUUUGCAUCUUUAUUCAUGAUGUAAAUAUUAGUAACUUAGAUUUAUGAAUAUAUUCACAAUGAAUAUUUGAGUACUAAUGUUUGUUUUGUUGACAAAUAAUUUUAAAAAAACAUGGAUAGAAGGGAAAUUUAAAAAAAACAGCAUUUUUUUUAGCUAAAAUAAUCAUAUAACAAACUUAUUAAGUUGUAAGUUGUAAAGUAUGACUUGGAGUAUAAAAAUAAAUAAUUAGAAGUCAAACAUGAUUUGUCGUGGAAUGAUCGAAAAUAGUGAAGAUUGUAAAAUAUAUGGGAGCGUUUGGUGCCUAGGUUCGAAAUCAAAUGCCUGAAAAUUACAGAUGUUUGUGUUUGUGAUGCAUGAAUUCGUAAUUUUAAUUUCUAAUGUUUGUGGUUAGAGUGCUGGUUUUGAAUUCAAAGGCUUAGCUAUCUUUUUUUUUGUCAAUUGUACAAUUUACAUUUAUCAUGUACGACAUAUUUCAUUGAUUUUUUUUAAUAUUUUGUCCAUAUAAUUCAAAUUCUUGACUUAUUGAUUUUCACGACAAUAAUGUAGAAACAAAAAAGUUUAACAUUCAAUAACAAUAAUUUUGAUUAUAUUUGUAUUAACAUGAAUGAUUUAAUUAGAAAUAUUACAAACCAUUCACAAAAUAUAACAAGUUAUAUAAUCGAAUGAAGUUUACAAAAGUUCUCGUUAAGCAAAACAUUAAAAAAACGUCUAACAGCUAAGUUUUAAAAUAAGCAUAACAAAAAGGUAAUGCAAAACCACUUCUAUCUCUAAUCACCAUUUUUGAGUGACCACCAACAACCACACUUUUCAACGACAAUUUUUUAAAGUAAAAAAAAAAAAUCUAUUAUAAUUAAGAUGUUAAAUAAUUAAAAAAACAAUAUAAUUAGAUAAAAUUACUUUUGGAACCAAAGAUAGUAAUUAAAAAUUAAUUUUAAACAUAUGAACAUGAUUGAUUUUUUGAAGUUUAGAAUCAAACAAAAAUAAAAUUGCUUAAAAAUCAAUUAUAUAUAUAUAUAUAUAUAUAUAUAUAUAUAUAUAUAUAUAUAUAUAUAUAUAUAUAUAUAUAUAUAUAUAUUAAAUCACUACUUCAAUUAUCACUCUCCCUUCAAUUUUUUUAAAAUGUUAUAUUUUUCUUAAAAAAUAAGACAAUAAUUUAUUUUUGAACCUUUUGCUUCUUUUUAAUAUCAUUCAAAUGUAUUAUUCAAAAAUUUGAAAGUUCAAAAUUAUUCAUGCUAUCAAAUAAUAAUUAUUUUCGUCCAAAACUAAUCAUAUGAGUAUAUUUUAUUUUUUUCAACUUUAAAGAUAUUACUAUUAAAAGAUUAUAAAUGAUUAAAUUGUUGAUAAUAUUUACAAAAUAAAAUACAAAUUUGGAUUCUAUCAAUUAUAGAUAUUAAAAGAUAUUGAUCAUUUAUAGACUAUCAAUGUCUAUCAUCUACUAACACAAUAAUAUUAAGAAGUGUAUUAAUGUUUAUCAUUAACAUAAUUUAAAAUUUAGUUAUAUUUUAUAAAUAUUUUAUUAGGUGGAUUUGAAAGUAUCUUUAUUAUUAUAACUUUUAAAUAAUAAAAAAUUAAAAUAUAUUUAAAAGUAAAGGUAAAAUUGUCGAAAUAAACUUGAAUUUAGUUUAGGGGUAUUGAGGUGACUGUCCUAUAAAAAAAAUGGUAAAAUUUAGAUGUAAUUUUUAAAAAAGGACUAAGAUUGUAAUUUAAAAGAAUGAGCGGAAAUGAAUUCGAAGUAUAGAAAAUAUGAUAUAUUUUUUUAAAAUUAAAAAUUCAUUUUAAACCUAAUGUAAACAGUUCUAUGUGGGUUGCUCAUUCCCUCGCCUUCUCUCCCUCUUCCGGCUGAUCUCCCUCCCUCAACCUCCCCGCCGUCGACCCUUCCGCCACCCACUCUCUUUGACGACGCCUCCUCAGCCUCCCUCUAGUUCCUUCUGAUUUGAAAUAUUCCCGAAUUCAAUUUCCUAGCGGAGGGUGAGUUUUUUUUUUUUUUUUUUUUUUUUUGUUGCAAUGUGGAGUGAGCUGCUGCAGUUUUGAUUAUGUGUUGAAUUUUUUCUUUUUCCCGUUGAGUUCUUAAAAUUGACGGAGUCUUGAACUGAGGUGAAUGCUGUGAUAGGAGACGAAAGUGUGGAUUUUGUUGUAAUAGGAAGUGAAGUGAUGGGGUCCUCUUAUCUGUAGUUUCUUGUAUUGGAUUUUUAAGUUGUCUGUUAGGGAAUUGACUAUGUUCACCAAUUGAUGAUCAUGUUUUCUUUUCUUUUGGUUUUCAGGACUUCAUUUCUUUGGUGAUUUUUCAUUCGACCAAGCAAUUUCGUUGUCAUGGUUGGUUGGCAGAGAUGUUUACGGUCCAUGCUUGGCCAUUUGCAAAACAAAGUGGAAUUGAGUUACAAUGCAGCUUCCAACUCUAGUUAUCGUUUGCAAUCUUCUCUUUCAAAUGGUCAGUUAUAUUUUCUUCCGAUUGAACGUAUGAAUCGCACAACACUUUCCUCUAGCCCAUUCAAACUCUAGUUUUCAUCUAAGUUUUUUUUUUUAAAAAAAUAUUUACUAGUGUUUGUGGUUUUUUAUGAGGUGCAUGCUUGGAUUAGUUAGUCUCAUGCUUUUUACUCUUGCACUAACUACUAAGGCAAUUUAAUUCCUAAAUUUUUGAAUUUCCUUCAACCAAACUUUUACCUUAAAUCAGUUGGAAUUAUUUUGAGAUACAACUUGAUGCUUUUUGGAACUAACUUUUUUUUUUUUUUUUUUUUUUGGUUUUAUUCUUGAAGUUGCCAUUGGGCCCUUUUUAAUACUUUUUGUUAUACCUCCCAAAAUCAUUGAGGUAUGGAUAUUGUUUUGAUGAAGUAUGGAAUGACCUUAACUCUUUCAAUCUACUUCAAAGUUGUUCUUAAAAGUUCAAAGUGGAGAAAAAACAAAGCAGGUUGUUUUUCAAAACAAACGACCUGAUAAGCAAAUAAUUGGCAUUGAUUAGCUAAAGCAUAGGACGCUUAACUUUCAAGCUAAGCUUUCCAAUAAACUUGAAGAGUUGCAACGCUUGGAACUUCAAAAGUUAUUUGGAUCCUAAAAGUCAUAAUGAAUCUAGAAACUCAGAUUCAUUCAAAUAUUUAAUGAAUUAUGUACUUAUUUAAUGUCACGUGUUCUCAUUAGUUAUAGUAGUUGAAAGGGCAUAAAAUUAAAUGAUGUGUUCUUUCAAUUUAAAUUUUAAAUUAAUAUAAAUAGGGUUGUAGUUUCCACAUUUUAGGAAGAGUAUCAAUAUUGAAAAACUUUUUUUUAUUCAACCCUUUUCAUGUUAAAAAUCAAUUUAUUGGAUUAGUCUUGAUCAAGCUAAUCUUGCAAUGAGUUGUCUUAGGAUCUAAAAGUGACCAUCAUAGAUUUUAGGUUUGAUUCAAGUUAGCAUGUGAGUUUUUGCAAGGAUCCUAGAAGGACCUCUAGCUUUGCAUCUAACAAACAUAGUGGGUGCUUAUCAUGACCCUUUGAUUCAGACAUUGUGAAAACCUUUCUCUCAGUGCUCUUCCCCCUCUCCCCCCAUUCAUAGCAGGUGGCCUUGGCCGAUCGCCACUCUCUUCUCCUACCCCUGCCUCUGACCACCCUCUCAUCUCUGUUCAUUAUGGUUCAACAUAUGCAAGAAGAUCCUGGCCAUUGGCCUCAAAGCUUUCUCCAUUGAGGAUGAAGCUAGUAAUGGGAAUCAUGCCUGCAUCAUAGGUGAUAGGACUUAAGAAGCAUGCAAUCUUCGCUCAUCAACUCCCCCAUUGGUGGAUGUUGUGGAGGUCUUAUAGACAUUUCUAAGAAACCUCAUAGACAUCCUACCUUUUCCAUACUCUAUGACAUUGUUCUAAAUUGGGUCCUUCCUUUCGAUUGGCUUAAAUACCCUUUCUCUUCUCUCUAGCCAUCUUAUAAGCUAAAGGUUUCAGUCUGAAUUGGAAAACACUUUGGAUUAACUUUGAAGAAGUAGCAUCCCUUAGUGGGCCUCUUCUGCUGUAUUCUUUUUUUGGAAUGUGGAGGGAGACAUGGAUCACAUGCUUUAAUGUUGUGGAUUUGUGGUGUUUUUGUAGAAUGUCUUUUCCUAGGAGUUCGGUUUAGAGUAGUAUUGGAGACUCAAUUUAUGAUUCCUUCCCCAUUCAUCUUUUAGGAAGAAUGGUCAUUUUUUAUGGUUUGAGGGGGUAUGUGCUCUGUUAUGGGGUCCUUGGGGGAGAGAAAUAACAAAGCUUUUAGAGUUGCUGUGAGGGACUAUAAUGAUGUUUGGUUCUUGGUGAGUUUUCAUUGUUUUCUUUGAGCCUUGAUUCCAAAGAUUUUUUGUAAGUACUCUACACACAAUAUUUACCUGGUUGGAAUCUCUUUAGUCUUUCUACAGUAGGAUUUCCGGAGAAUGACUGUUUCUGCAAAGUUUGGCUCCAAGGCUUUAAAUAAGCACCGGGCACUGCUUCUCUCCACAAAAGUCGAGGCCCAAGGAAGAACAUUAUGAAACAAGCAACAGUCCUUAAUCCAUGAUAUUGUAUUAUCCAAAGUUGAGAAUGGGGCUACUACAAUAUUUUGGCGUGAUCAGUACUUCAAGGAAGCUUUUUGUUUAAUAACUUCCUCUUGCUCUCCAGCAGAAAGAUGGCUUCUGCCAAAGAUUUAUGGAGGGUUGAUUUGGCUUUCUAGUAUCUAGAUUUCGUUUGAAAUUUGAGUUACUAAGAAGUUCCUGAAUGGGUUGAGUUGAGCCUUUUAUUAUUCAAACUCUGUUUAGCCAAUAAGGAUGACAUGUGUGUGUGUCCUCUUGGAAAAUAUGGGGUCAUUUUCAUGAAAGCAUUACUACGAAGUUUUGAUCAUUCCUCAAUGUGUGAUUUUCUUCUAUUCAAUAAAGCUAUUUGGUAUAAUAUCUUUCAUUUUAUUUCAAUGAAAGCUUUACUUUUAGUUGUACAUGAAGGUCAUUGUGCAUAAUGUUUACCUGAAAAAGAUAGAAUUCUAAUUUAUUCUUUGGGAGCUAUAUCACAGGGAAAUAAACAAAUAUGAUAGGCGUUCAAAUCAUCUCCUUGACACAACUCUUUCCCCAAAUCAAUGCAUCCUUUAGAAACAUGAUUCGGAGUCAUAGAGCCACAUUUUCAUAACUUGCCCUUUUUGUUCACAGUUUUUGGAAGGAUAUGUUGGUGACACUCAAUUGGUUGGUGGUCCUUCUAAAUGAUCCUUCCAUUCUUCAAAACCGUUUUCUCUAGGGAUAUCCUUUUAGAGACGAGAACGAGAUCCUAUGGAAGAAUUUAUUUUGUUAUUUUUUCUUGUACUUUUCUGUAGUUAGUAUGGUUAGAAAGAAAUCAAAGGAUUUUUGGAACCAAGGAAAGGGUCUAUGUGGACUUUUUUGACAAUAUUCUUUUUUGCCUUUAUCGUGCUCUAAUUGUAAAUUGAAUUCUCCUAGUUCUGUCUCUCUUUUGUCCCAUUGAAGAAGUUCAAUGAAACUUCUUUGGAUUCUGUUUUAUUCCUCGUCUGUUUUCAUUUAUCUUAAUUUAAUUUAAAUUUCAUACAUCUUUGAAAUUAUUUCUUAUAUAGAAAAACUUCUGGUUCAAAUGUUCAAUUUAGCAAAUAUGAGUUUUUGGGCAUUUACUUGGACAUCUCCUCCAUGGACCACUGCCUCUUUCGUUGGCUGCAAAAUUGGUUUUUGGCCUAACUCUUACCUGUGCCUUCCCCUUGGUGGAAAACUGUGCUCACUCACCUUUCCAGAGCCUAUUGUUGAGAAAGUUGAGAGUAAGCUCAGAAAUUGAGAGCAUGCCUUUAGAUUGAAAGGUGGAGUCUAACUGACUAACUCUUUCCAAAGCCACCCUAUCUCCAAAAUCGCCCCGAAGAUUGAAAAGCUCAGAGGAAAGUUUGUGGGGAGGUCCCAUAUGACUGGUGGCUCUCACCUCAUCCAAUGGAAGAAGGGUCAAAAGCCUUUAUCCCGUGGUGGCUCGGUAUUGAAUAUUGAUCAUAUCUAGCCAAAUGGAUUUGGAGAUACAUGGAAAAUGCAAGGUUAUUGAAGCUAAAUAUGGCCUUUCAAAGCAGGCUGAAGUAGUCAUCCAUAGCUUUAUGAUGAAAGUAUGAUUAAGGUAAUUUAGAUAAAUUCCUAGGUUUCUGUUCUGCAGCUUCAGUUGGUCCUUGGCAGUCCCUUCAAGUUUGGCUGAUUUUAGUAUGUAAAUCUUCUUGCGGGACCCUUUAAGGGAGGAGAUGCUUGGAAGCUGUGGCUUGAAAGGAAUAACAACACUUUCAAGUGCUCUGAACAAUAUUUUGCUGCAUCAAAUUCUGUCAUCUUUAUGGCUCUUUACUGGUGUAAAGGAUCACAUCCUUUCUCAAUGUCUUGAUACUUUUGGGCAGAUUUUUUUCUUUUGUAAAUCCAUUUUUGUGAUUUUGGGACUCUUCUCCUGUUUUAUAAUUAUUUUGUUUAUCAGACAAAUCAUUUCCUCUCAAAAGCAAAAAGAAAAGAAAAAUGAAAAGUGAAAAAGGAAGAGAGAUCGUAUACGGCUGUUAUGGUGGGAAUGCAAUAAAAGAGGUUUUAAAGAUGAAGUUGAUGAGAUAGACAGGCGUUAGAGUAAAAAAAAUUAUGGUUAUUAUGCCGUCGUGGAAUAUUUGAUAACCCUUCCCUUACCACUUUAUUGGAUUGGUUGCUAUCCUAGUAACUCAUCUUUCUAAGAGGACUCCCUUAAAGUGUUUAUCCUAUUAGUUAGUAACUACAGAAAUGGUUUGCAUCUGACUAAAAUCAGUAGAACCACAACAGAAUCAUAAAUUGAAGUUGCUGAGUUGCACCAAUUUCUUAUGCAGGGGAAUUGCCUUAUUUACAGAGACUUUUGAAGCCAUCCUCAGCGGUCAUUGCACAACCUGAUUUUCGGUGUCUCCAACAAAUGGUAUACAUGGCAACCAUACCAUCCCUUGAAUUUCUAUGAAAAUAAAUUUUGUUUGAAGAAUUUUUUUAUGAAAACAACUUUGGAGUAUGUGUUUUUAUUUUACAAAUCACUUGAAUUCUAAUUUCUGAAAAUGUCUUUGCCGUAUUUUACUUUCUUCCUUUUAUAGGGAAUUUCCAGUUCAAGGAUGCUAUUGGCAGAUAAACCUGAGGAAGCAGUCUCAUCUCCUCUGACAUCUGCUUUGGCUUUAAGCAGCGGAAAAGAUGGAGAUAAAACAGACCAAAAAGUAAUCUGUAAACGUUCCCAAGUCCAAGCUGUAUUAAAGGGAAUCAAACAGGUGAAGUCUUUGGACUAUUCUUGUCACUUGCACACCAAAAACUUGAGUAAAAGCGGUGAAAGUCAUGAGGGUGGAACUUGUUAUUGAAAAACGAGGCUUUGUAAUUAUAGAAUUUGAUUAAAUCUGAAGUUUUAUGUUUUUAAGUCAUAGUUAUCAAAAUGCUAAUUGGAUUGUAUAAAUUCUGUUAGCCUCAUUUCUCUUGGGCCAACCUUUAGUUGUGUUAGAAAUAAUGAGCUUAGGUCAUGGUGAAAGCCCAUGGGUAGUUAAGACUUACUUUGCCCUAACUUUUUAUUCUUUUCAAGGCUCAUGUUGUCUAUAAAUUUCCCCCCUUUGUACCUUUAUGAAUCAUUAGAAAAUAAUAAGUCUUUCAGCACCGUGUUUUUCUUCCUGUACUAGGGUUUGACAUAAAUUUGUGUGUUCUUUGUCUCUACUUUAAAUGAGUUGUUUAUUGAAAGUUUUUUGGGUUGGAGAUUGAGAUUGUAAUUGAAAUAUCCUCCCCGUUUUCUUGUCAAGUUUUGUAAUGCAUUUUAUAUAACUGAAAGAUGGCUUCCACGAAAAAGGUGGACUCAUUUAGGUUUAUCUUUUAUUUGAAAAGAAUUAAUGGGACUGUUGCAUUUGAAUUUUUCUUCCAGAGUCCCAAAAAGGUCAACUUAGUUGCUGCUCUAGUUCGAGGCAUGCGCGUUGAAGAUGCACUGAUGCAGUUACAAUUAACUGUGAAGCGAGCUUCAAAAACUGUUUAUCAGGUGAAACAUUAUCUUAGGAUGCUUGAUGUACACCUCGUUUAUCAAUCACUGUGUUUGAAUAUUUCUUUGAUUUCAUUAUUUGGGGGAAACUUAAGCUGAGAAAUAAACAUACAAUUACUUGAGUUUAGUCAACCAGUUUAGCUUCUAUUAUAGACAAUUUCGAUAUAUAAAAAAGAUUUAGUAGCAGGAGGAUGCAUUGUUUAGCCACUGAAUGAGGCUGAGAAGUUUUGUUUCGUUGUUCUUGCAAAAAAAAGGUCAUUUGACAAUAAGUAUGGUUAAUGGUUCUAGAGCUUGACACUAUUUGGUUUUUAAAAAAAUUAGACGCCGACUUUGCAAGGUACUGUGAAUUCCUUCCAUGUCAUAAAUUGUACAAAAGAAGCAUGAGCACUUUAGCUUGAUUAGGAAGUUGGGCAUUUUGAUUUGAUGGCCUAAAAUCCAAUAAUUAGGCCAUCAAAUCUUGAGUAAAGGGGUAGAAGCAGAUGAGGAAAAAAUUCGAAGUAUGGUGAAUUGGCCUCAACCUAAAGAUAUGAUCGGACUGAGAGGCUUUUUGGGUUUGACCGGGUAUUACUGAAGGUUUGUAAAAAGGGUACGGAGAAAUUACAGCACCCUUAACCAAACUAUUACAGUAGAACUCUUUUAGAUUGAGUGAGGAAGCUACGGAAACUUUUGAGAAACUAAAACUGGCAAUAACAACUAUCCCUGUGUUAGCCUUACCCGAUUGGUCCCUCCCAUUCAUUAUAGAAACUGAUGCAUCUGGAAUUGGGCUAGGAGCAGUGCUUUCCCAAAAUGGCCAUCCUAUUGCAUUUUUUAGCCAUAAAUUGUCCCUAAGAGUCCAAGCUAAAUCCUUCUAUGAGAGAGAACUGAUGGCCUUGUCCUUUCUGUUAAAAACGGAGGCAUUAUCUUUUGGGAAAGAAGUUCACGAUAAUAUCUGACCAAAAAGCCUUGAAAUUUCUACUGGAGUAGAGAGAAGUCGAACCAUAGUUUCCAAAGUGGCUUACCAAGCUUCUUGGAUAUGAUUUUGAAAUUCUUUAUCAACCGUGAUUACAGAAUAAAGUAGCUAAUGCUCUUUCUAGAAUGGAACUAUCUCCGGAACUUAAUACCUUGUCCACUCUUGGUAUCGUGGAUUUAGAAGUGGUGCUGAAAGAAGUAGAGGAAGACAGUGAACUCCAAAGACUUGUUGACGAUUUGAAGAAAAAUCCAGGGGAAGGGAACAAGUAUCGAUGGGAGAAUGGAAGACUCUUAUAUAAAAGAAGACUAGUGCUCUCCAAAAACUCAAUGCUCAUCCCCAACCUAUGACUCAUCUUUCAUGAUUCGAUCUUAUGGGGCUAUUCAGAGUUUUUGAGAACCUACAAGAGAAUGAAUGGAGAGUUACAUUGGAAGGGGAUGAAGACGGAUGCCAAGAAGUACAUAGAGCAGUGUGAUACUCGUCAGCGAAACAAGUACGAAGCUACCAAACCAGCUGGAUUGUUACAGCCCAUCCCAAUCCCUGAUCGGAUAUCGGAAGAUUGGUCUAGGUAGCCCACCUAUGACAGGGGGAGUAUGUCAUUGUAGCGGUGAUUGAUAGACUGAGCAAAUGUGCUUACUUUAUCUCCAUGAAACACCCCUUCUUAGCUAAACAAGUGGCUGAUACAUUCAUUGAUAAGAUUGUGAGAAAGCAUGACAUCCCGAAGUCCAUCAUUACCGAUAGAGAUAAGAUAUUUCUUAGUAAUUUUUGGAAGAAGUUGUUUGCAACCAUGGGCACUAUAUUGAAAAGAAGCACCGUAUUUCAUCCUCAAAUGGAUGGACAAACAAAACGAGUAAACAUAUGCCUAGAGACCUAUUUGAGGUGUUUAUGUAAUGAGCAACCGAACAAAUGGAAUAAGUUUCUUCCCUAGGUAGAGCUGUGGUAUAACACUACCUUUCAUGCCUCCACUGAGACUACACCAUUCCAAAAAGUAUACGGGAGACCCCCACCACCUCUGUUAUUAUAUGGAGAUAGAAAGACUCCUAACAACGAGGUAGAAUCAUUGCUGAAAGAAAGGGGUUUAGCUUUAAAUGCAUUAAAAGAAAACCUAUGUGGCCUAGAACCGAAUGAAGAAAAUGGCAGAUCUUAAGCGAAGGGAACUCAAGUUCAAGGUGGGAGAUGAAGUGUAUUUGAAGUUGAGAGGAUAGGCAAUGUUCGUUGGCCAGGAAAAGGUGUGAGAAACUUGCCCCUAAAUUUGAUGGACCCUACAAAAUAAUAGAAGAAAUUGGAGAAGUGGCUUACAGAUUACAAUUGCCACUGGAGGCUGUCUUACAUAAUGUAUUUCACGUUUCCCAACUGAAGCUAAAACUGGGAAAGCAACAAGAGGUACAGCACCAACAUUCCGUUCUGACUGAAGAAUUUGAAUUGCAGUUGUGGCUUGAGACAAUUUUGGGAAAUGGUUGAUCAAAUGGAAAGGGUUACCGGAAAGUGAAGCUACAUGGAAAUCAGUGUAUCAAAUGAAUCGGCAAUUCUCUAUGUUCCACCUUGAGGACAAGGUGAACUUAGAACCGAAGGGUGUUGUAAGGCCUCCUAUUAUCCACACUUAUAAAAGAAAGGGCAGGCAGGUAAUUGUACAGUAAUCCAAUGGUGAGGGAAUGAUGCAGUUUGUGGGGCCCACAGGGAGGAAAGAGAGGGAGAGCUAUAAGUAUAUCUUUAGGGGAUUGCGUAGCUAGGUUAUCUUUUUGCGAAAAGGUUGCUGUUAGCAUUUUGAGAGGAUUUUUCCCAGCCUUUACUAUUUUCUUGAAUUUCCAUCUUUGAACUACUUGUUAUUUCAUAUUUUGGCUGAAGGUAAUAUAAAUAACAAGAGUACUGUCUCUGUUUUAGCCCGUUUUUGUUAGGAUUUAUUGUGUUUAUAUUGUUAGAAUCCUAACAUAUUGCUAAGAUUUGCUUACGAUGUUAAAAUUUGUGUCGUGACAUUGUGAAGGUCAUUCAUUCAGCCAAAGCAAACGCAACCCACAACCACGGAAUGGAUUCAGAUCGACUCCUUGUUGGUAAAUGAAGCAAGUAAAGAUAACCCAUCCUUCAUAUUACAAGGGUUUGUGUAUUUGACUUCUUGUUAUCUUGUACAGCUGAAGCAUUUGUGGGUAAGGGAUUGUUUCGGAAAAGAUUAUCAUAUCAUGCUAAAGGAAGAUGUGGAGUCGAAGUUAAACCAGAAUGCCGACUAACAGUUGUUCUUAGGGAGACAACACCUGAAGAAGAGGCAAAGAUAGCAAAGCUUAAAGUAAGUAACUUCCGCAAGCUUACCAAGCGUGAACACCAACUUGUACCUCAUAAGCUUAUUGAGACCACACCUAUCUGGAACCGGAAGGGCAAAGCCAAAGCGAACACAGAAUGUUGAAAGGCUUUGUAGUAUGAUAAUAACUGCUUCCAGUUGAGUUUCCUAAUCUCUUUCUGCUAAUGGUUUAAUUUCAUGUCCUUUUGUUCUAGACAAGUUAGUUAAGCAGGAAAAGGGAUUUUGAUGUGGUAAAAUGUCCUCCAUUAAGAAUAAAAUGUUCUUUAAUGACAAUUUUUAUUCAUUUUACCCAGCUUAUUUUUAGUGACUCCCUUGAUCUCUUUUCUUCGCCCAUUUCAAUUAUGAGAUCUUCCAAGAAAGAUUUGUACGUCAUAUCUAAGGAGCAAGUUGUAUAACCUUCAUCAUUGUCUUUGAUAUGGCUAGUUUAGAAGAUUCUGCGUUGUUAGUUUGUUUGGUGGUAAUUUUUUAUUCAUCAAUUAGCGUCGAGUUGGUUUGUUUUGGCAUCAGCUUAAAGUCUCCCUUUGCAUUCAAAACUCUAAACCUUUGACAAAAAUCAGUUGUGUUCAAAAUUGUUGUUUAAUUAAAUCUUUCAAGUCAUAAAUCUAAGUAUCAAUUUUUGCAGAUUUUCGACUCAAAUAUUGAUUUGAAUCUCAAAAUCAAAUCCAAUUCCCCCAUCCCAUCAAUCAUUUAUUAUUAUUAUUUUUAUUAGUAAAAAAAAAAGAAAAAGGGACAUUUUAAAAUAAAAUAAAAUAUUUACGAGUUAUAACAAAAUUUUGGAUUUGUUAUAGGUUAUAGGUUGUAAAUGUAUGGUUAUUGUAAUAGCCACAUAAAGUAUAUAUAUGUUUUUCUUUUAACUGAAAGAUAGCAUAAUCAGACGACAACAAAAGAUCUAAAGCUGCUAAAUAAAGCCAAAUUCCAAGAACUUUUUCUUAAACAAAAAUGUGAUGUAACGACAAUAAGUAACAUUAUGGACCAAGUUUGAAAGGAUCUAAACCAAAUGUGCAUCUCCACAUAUUUAAAUGGUCACGGGGAGAGAAGAAAAUCAUGUUAUAUAACUCAUAAGUUAGCCGAAAAUAUACAACAGGAUCAGCAACAUGAACAGUUAUCAUCGAAGUGACAUCUUUCUUGUGCGUUUUCGUGAAGGGUGAAGGGUGAAGGGAAGGUGGAACCUAUUCGUCCUACGGCAAAGUUUUAAUUAUCGUGCAUUCUUUUAAAUAUUUAAUAACAUUUGAUGUUUUUAAAAUGUCGAGAAAAAGUAUCUCUGGACAUUUAAAAAACGUCAAGAAAUUCAGAAAAUAACCCCUCCAUCUUUUCAUAAAAAUUAUUGACGUUUUAAAACGUCAAGAACUUAAUAGAUAUUACUUGACGUUUUUAAAAUGUCAAGAAAAAGUAUAUAUCACUUGACGUUCUUUUAAACGUCAAGAAUUUAAUAGAUAUUACUUGACGUUUCUAAAACGCCAAGAAAAAAUACAUAUUACUUCGUUUAAAAACAUCAAGAAAGCUAAAAAUGGACUUUUUUCAUAAAAAUUCUUGAUGUUUUAUCCUUGAAAUCACUCAUUUCUUGAUUUUUUUUGGAAAGAGAGUCCCUUUUUCUAAUAGUGAUUUGAUUUGUACGCGUGAGAGUGACUCAAUAUGCUUAUCAUUUUAGAGACAAGACUGAGUAAAGAGCUAGAAAUAUAAUCACACAAGAUGAAAUUCACUUCUUUCUGACUUUAGGGUAAGUAGAUGACUGUUCCCUUAAAUGAUUCUUCGGGACUUGAACAAAGGGCCCUACCCUCUCUAUGACACGAGAAGAGUUUCUGUUUAGUGGUUGACCAUAAAUAGGUUAUUCAUUAAAAAGCACUUGUGAAUGACUAACUUACUGUUAUUAGUUUAUAUCAGUGGACAUAGAAACAUAUCUAUAGUGAAAAGAGUUCAACUGUGCAUCUUUAGUGGAGUGUACACACAGUUAACGAAUAUGGUUAAUGUGGUUAAUGAGUUUAGCCAAUUAAUCUCAUAUUAUUGUAGAUUCAUUAGGUCUCCUUCCUAGCUCGUAAAGGAUAAUGAGAUUUAUCUGUAUUGGAUGUAAUUGAAAUGUUCAAAUUUACUUUGGGAAUUAAUAUAAGGGUGAUACAUUAUAAUAUAAAAUUCAAUAUAUAAAUUUAAUUUUGGAUAUGUGAUAACUUGUAGAAAUACAAAUUAUUAUCGCCUUUUAGGGAGAAUAAUGAGACCAAAAUGCAAGAGAAGUAUAUCAAAACACAUCGAUAAUGUUGUAAAUGCAUAAAUAUUUGAAAAUACACUUUAGAUAAGUGUUAUGUCUGCUUUACUCUGUUUUUAGUGUUUAAACACAGAAAUAUAAACAAAAGAAGAAGCUGGCGAAUCAUAAAGGAAUUCGUACAAAGAUUAGGCGAGAAGACCAUAUCAGAAUGUGAGAAGAGAUUCGUUAUAAGGCAAAAGUGGUAGAUGGAGAUGAUUUGACUGGACAAUAGAAGCAACUUUCGGCGCUGAUAUGUUCAGAAGAUUAGAUUUCUCACCUAAAUCUGCCUAUAAAAAAGCUCUAUUACCAUAAAAGAAAAUGACACCUAUGUGGGUCGAAAAUGUUUGAAUAGACCACCCACUCACCUGAUGAGAUUGGUAGAGUUCUAGAGAGUUGGUGGAAAGAAGUAGCAUUUCCACCACUUGUAAAGUUCUUUUCAUCUUCUUCGGUUAGAUUGUAAUGUGAAAGCUUGUAGUUUGAGGGAAGAAGAUCCCAUCCCCAUCUCUUCCUAACUUGUAAUGUCAUUUUUAUUCUUUAUAUUUUUGUAUUUCUUUACAAUGUAUGGUUGUUCAUAUUGUAUAGUAACCGAAGGCCAAUAUUCUUUAAUACAAUGUAUACUUGUACCUUUUGCAAUCCAUCUACGUUUUUACUGUUCACGUGUCCUUGUGUUAUUUGUCAUUUAAAUUUGUGAUUAGUUCUUGAUAAGAAGUCUUGCUUAUAACUCUUAUUGCUUAUAACUCUUAUCGCGUUAGCUGAGUUAUAUACAUCACUUGACCAGUGUAUAUUGCCAACUUCUUUAGAGGGCAAGUAACAAGGAUAAAGUUAGCGUCACAAGGAGUUUGGAGACAAACUUCACCUUGGCGAGACAACUUCCAUCAUUUGUAUCAAGAAAGGAGAACAAGUGUGGGCAUUAGGCACCGAUAGGUUGCUACCCUUAAACGCGGAGCUCUAUAAGUUUUAUACGUGAAUACUUUUAGAUUUACCUUGUUUAGUUAGGUUUAGUCAUUUGAAUUCCGAAAGGAGGCCAAGUGUGGCAUUUAACGACUUCGAGAAGAGCGCUUCUUAAUCAUAAACUAGUUAAGCAAAUUGUAUCGCGCCAAGACUUUCAUAUAGCUUAAUCGCCUGGUAGCACUAGACAUUCCUUCACCCCUUCUUUAAGCAAGUUAGCUCAUCCACGCUUCAAUCAUCCUCAUUAAAUUAUCUUACAUAUUCUCUAGGUGUAUAUACGUAGGCAUAGUUUUCUUACAUUCUUCCGUACCUUUUAGUUUAUUCUUUAUACCUUCUGAUUAAAUAGUGAGGACAUUGGAAGAAUUUUACAUGCAAUGAUUAUGUCAACUCGCAUGAUGAAAAGAUUCAUGAAGAGCAUUUUACAUGCAAUGAUCCUGAAUCAGUGAUAUAUCAUGAAGAAUUAAAUAGACAUAUACACUAUUUCCCACGUCGUUAAACCUUUGUUGUUUAGAAUAAGAGCCAUCAUUAAGUCCAUGCAGUUGACCAACUAGGUUAGGUUGUAGGUAUGGUUGAGUGUGAUUGACUCGUACAAACCCACAAACCAAACAUACAAACAAACUACAACCCAAGCUGAAACAAUAAGAAAUAUGAUUCAAAAUUAAUUUAUGAGGGAAUAAAAUAUUUGAAUGAGUUCAAAUAUUAAUUUAAUGUGAAUUAGACUCAUAAUAAAACUAUAGGUUAAAAUUUAGUUGUAUAUGAUAUACAUAAAAACUAUAAGUUACGAGAGAAAUUUAUAUUUGAAUAUGAUUCAAAGAUAUUUAAUUUAGCAAUUAAUUAAUUGAAGAAUUAAUUAAUAGUUUAGUUUAAUUUGAUCUAAUUAAAUUAAUUAAAUUAAAAUAGUAGGUUAUGUGAGAGAUUUAAAUAAAAUAUUAAUUAAAUAUGAUUCAAUUAAUUAUUAACUCAAAUAAUUAUUUAAUUUAAUUUAAUUAUUUAUUUUAAUAAUAUUAUUAAUUUAUUAAAUUAAUAGGGAAGAUGAGUGGUUUUUUCAUGUUCCAAUUUUCUCUCAACUUCUCUCUUCUUCUGAAGAAGAGGGAGAUACUCGUACGUCAGAAGAUAGAAGCAUUAUGAGAAAAAUUUAGACCAAAUUUGGCGAUUGACAGAUAAAGAAUUGGCAACGAACGUAAGUGCCUUUACUUUUCUUUGUAUUUUUCUCUCUAUUUUUUAAAAGCAUGCUUAGCCUUUAGGUUAUAAAAUAUUAGUUUCUAUAAUAUAAUUUUGCCAAUGUAAUAAUAUUUUUAGGUUUCCAAAUUAAUUUGAUUUAAGGUCUCUGUUAAAUAUUUUGCUGCUUGGACUUUUAUCUUUUCAUUUCUAACAUCUUUGAAAAUUAGAAUUGGUGUAUCCAUUAAAGAUCAGAUCACUAACACUAUACAUGGGCACAUAGUCUUUUGAUUUUUCUAAACUAUUUUAAGAUAUUCUCAACGACAGUUCAUCCCUUCUAAGGUAGCCAAUAUCAUGUCUAUAGUACAUAACAUUGCAUAUAUUAAACGCCCAACAGGGGAAGCAAAUGAAAUUUGUGUCAUAUCCUUAACAUUUUGAGGUGUUUUAGCAUAUUAUUCAUUUGACAAAUGACUUUCUUAUCUAUAAUGCAACAAACCCUUUUAGAAUUUUGUACUUUAUAUCUAUACAACAUUUUGUCUAUAUAAGAUGCUUGAGACAUGACCAAUAUUUUAUUCUUGUGAUUCCAAACAAUUUUGAUCUCGAGAACACAUUGUACAUUUCCAAAUGUUUUAUUUAAAAAUGCAUAGCUAGCAAUUUCUUGACAUCAGUUAGAUAAACUGCAUCUUUCAUUGCCUGUUUAUAAGUCAAUGGAUCCUCUAAACCAUCACUAAAUAUGAUGAUUUGAUUUUCAAUAAAACCAAGUAACAGUCAUGCUGAUGACCAACCCUCCCACUACUUCGAGGCACUCUCAACUCUCGAGAAGGAUGUGACUAACCAGAUUCCUUAGUUUUAUCAACUACUUUAGUGGAUGAACUAGGUUUAUCUAUAACAUCUUUGAAAAUUUUAUUCAAUACUAAUUUAAUACGUGGUUUGAUGAUUCACGAUGAGGUUUUCCUCUAAGAAUGUGACAUUUGUUGAAAAAAAUUCCUUAUUUUCUUGAGGAUCAAAGAAUAAAGCUCAUCAUAAAGUGAACCAUGUCCAAUAAAGCCUAGUUUCUUCUUUUUUAAUACAUCGUCUGUUUAGGCAUACUAGAUGCAGAGAGUUGUAACUGGAUUUCGUGUUCCCAAAUAAUCUUGAAAUCUCAAGUCCACAUACUCUCCACCAAAGUGUCUAUAGUUUACCUAAUUGAUUCUCAACUUCCGUCUUAUAUUUUCUGAACUUUUCAAGAAAAUCAAACUUGUGAUGCAAUAGGUAAACAUGACCAAACCUUGAAUAAUCUUAAAAACAAUCGAUGAAAUGUUCAUACCCUCCUUGAACUUUGAUAUUCAUUGGUCCACAGAAGUUCGAAUGUACGAGCUUUGAAAGUAUUUUUGCUCUGAGACCUUUUUCAAUAAAAGAUCACUUGGUCAUUAUUCCUUUUAAGACAAAACUCACAUGAACGUAAAGAUUUAUUUUCUAUCUAAUUUAGAAGUUUAGGGUUUACACUCCUAAGCUAUGCUAUCACAUUAUUUACAUCAAUUCAUUUUUUUUUUUUUUUAUCGAAACAUUCACAUUUUUCAAAUCGCUAUUUAUAUUAACUUUUACGAUAACUUUUGGAAUAGUUAUUAUGGAUUGAACUCAACUCAAUUACUCAAUUAUUUGGUUUGAAUAAGUUUUUGUAUGUAUAUUAUUAUUUUGAAAGCCACGGCCUCGAAAUAAUAACAAAUGAAAUGAAAUAAAAAAGAGAGGCAUCUUAAACCUCUGGGUUUGGGUGAAGACCUUUUUGUGAAACUGAAGACUGAACCUAACUCCAAGGUGCGUCGAUCGCUUUCUUCUUACCUACUCCCGAUUUGUAGGUAAUUUCUUCAUCAAUUACCUUCUCUGCAUCACCAAACCCUAAUAUUAUUUCACGUUUAAUGUAUCAUUAUUUCUACAAACCUACUCCACUUCACUCCUUCACAAUCCUUACAUUUUUCUUCACUUUAUUCUAACUCGAACUUCCAGCAAUCGGUUGGACCAUUCUAUUCUCUGUGUAUGUUAUUUAUUUAUUUAUUUAUUUUGAUGUAAUUGCAACUCCGAAGGUGUUAUUUUCACUUUGUUCAUCCGGCAGGUGUUGGAGAAAUGCCUAAAGUCAAGACCAGCAAGAUCAAAUACCCAAAUGGGUGGGAAUUGAUUGAACCAACCCUACGAGAGCUUGAUGCUAAAAUGAGAGAAGGUUUUAUCAUUUAUAUUUCUUUGUGUGUGUGUGUGUGUGGGGAAGAGGGUGAAUAUAGCUUUACAAUUUUGGGCUCAGAUUUGGGGGACUGUUUGACACACUGGAUGAUUAUUAUAAUUGUGUUAUCAUCAUCUGUGUUUGGGGUGUCGUAGUCUGGGUUAUAAGGGUCUUUACAUAGUUUUAAGUUUUAUUGUAGCGAACUAUGAGUUAUAAUAAUUGAGAACUUCAAUUUUUAUAAUGGAGACCCAAACAAUGAGUAAGAUGUACUGAAAAAAGUUGGGGCCCAAGCGCUUCUUGAAUGUUUGUUUCAAGGAAAGUUUCUGGUGCCGUAACUAACCAGGUUUACAAAUGUUUUUACUAGGGAUUAAUGAUAUUGUUGAUUCUCAAGUUCCUGUGUUUCUUUGUGAUAUUUUUAGGGUUAAUUUUGUGCUGUUUUGCAGCUGAAAAUGAUCCACAAGAUGGCAAGCGGAAGUGUGAAGCGUUAUGGCCUAUUUUCAAGAUUUCACAUCAAAGGAGCCGAUACAUUUUUGACCUUUUCUAUAAAAGAAGUGAAAUAUCAAGGGAGCUCUAUGAAUUUUGUUUGGAACAAGGCUAUGCAGAUGCCAAUCUCAUUGCUAAAUGGAAAAAGGUUUCACUCAAUACUCACAACCCAAGUCCAUUUUGUCAUUAUAAACAAAUUUGUUCUUUUGUCCUGUUUGUUCCAAGUUGAACAAGAAUAAAUGAGGACAAUUUCUCUGUGUUUGCUUUUAUCAAUCCGCUGCUUAACAAAAUGGGGUUGGGACGUAUCCUUAGUUUGAAUUAAACAUGUGCUUCUGUAUACUAACCUUAGACUUACUGGUUUUUGAAUCUUGCAAUGGUCUUGAGUUGGUGAUAGCUGAUUUUUAUGAUAGUUUAGAAUAGUGUCUUAACAAACUUAUGUCCAAAUUGCAGCCGGGAUACGAACGUCUUUGUUGCCUCCGUUGCAUACAGCCCCGUGACCAUAACUUCGGCACAACGUGUGUCUGUCGAGUGCCGAAACACUUGAGAGAAGAGAAAGUUGUGGAGUGUGUGCAUUGUGGUUGCAGGGGAUGUGCCAGUGGGGAUUGAUUUUGUUUCACAUCGCAGAAGCUUGGGUUAUAUAUAAUGCGAUCUUUGCAGCUAAGUUGUAAGUUGUAUUGAAAUCACUCAAAUGUUUAAUCUAUUUGUCCAAGGUAGAUGUGAUCCUCUUAUGUACCGUGGAUUCUUGUUGUGGUUAGUUGGAACUGGUGAUUCUUUUUCUAACUUUUGUACCUUCCUCCAUGUGGUGCAACAGAACAGAAGGCCUUUCUUCGUCUCUUUUUCCUUUUCCCCAACUAACUUAAGCUUUACCCUUUCAUCAAACUACACCUUAAACUUGUGUUAGUUUUACAUUCUUUACUUAGGCUUGAACAAGUAUUGUAAGUUUCAAACUGAAUUAUUUCCGUUCAAUAGCUUUGCAUCGUUUGCAUCGUUUGAUAGAUCAAAUAAGAAUUAAAAAAUUACUUCAAAUAAACAGAUUUGAGAAUCCACGUUCGCAAAAAGAGAUGAUCUUUUUGUUUAAAACAAUUUAUUCUUGAACGAUCAUAUAUUACACCUAUAGAACACUUCUAACUUUCAAGUGGAGCAUUUGAAGUUAUUUUGAUUGAGACUAUCUUAAUAGAAACUAUUUAAAAUAAAGUUUAAAAGUAAAACAAUUAUGAAUGGUUACCAAUCAUUUCAUUUGUCUAAAGAACUUAUUUUUCAAAUUAAACAGGUGAAAAGUUAAACCAAACGUAACAACAUCCAAUUAGGUAAAAGAGAGUUUAAGCUAUAAUUGCUACCAUGAGAAUAAAGAAAAUAAAAAAGAUCAAUUUGUAGUAUGAGGGGAGACGUGAAUAUAACUUUUUGUAUCUUUAAGUUUUCUCAUUUAUUCAACCCUUUGAUUGGUAUUUUUUUUCCUUCAGAUAUUUAAGGCAUUUAAAUUUAAUUACUAUUUUAAAAGAUAACUUUAACAAGUGAGAAAGACAUAGCACCCCAAACUUUGGAUUAUUCUUGAUAAUUGUUGAAAUGAUAGAAGCCAAAACUUGGUUAGGUUUUGAGCAAAUCUAACGGGUGGUUGAAACUCUACUUUUUCAAUAGAUUUCACCAAUAAAGAGAAUGACAAAGUGUGUUGGUAAUAUGCAAUUUGAUGUUGGAGAACAUAAAGCUUAUCUAAUUUCCCAUAAUCAAACCAUAUAAAAUAUAUCAUUGCCAAAAAAAAAGUAAAGUACACAAUAUUUUCAGUAUUUCUUUUGCCUUUGCUUGACAGUAAUUAUGAAGAGGGAAUAAGACCAUAAUGGUAAUCGAUGAGUAUUAUUAUUUCAUUUCAAAAUUACAUCAAAUUGAGAAAAGAGUAAGUUCGGGACAUGCUUGAUUUUGAAAAAUGUUAAUCAUUUCAGUAUUUUAAGACAUAUAUAUAUAUAUUUUUUUUUUCCUAAAGAAAUCAAAUUUGAUUGUAUAAAAAUAAUUCAUAAAAAAUAUAAAAAAGUAAAACAUUAAAUUAAUUUUGAAAAUCAACCUGACAAAGAUAACUUUAACAAUUUCAAAAUCAGUAUGAAUUUUAUAAUAAGAAAAGGUGGAACGGAAAGGUUAAAUGCGAUAUGAUAGAAAGAUGAGAAGAUCCGUCCUUGAUUACGAAAAAGAAUUUUCAUAGUGAGUUUACUCCUUUUUUGUUUAUUGCAAGCUAGGAAAUUAGGCCUGUUUUGAGAGUGUUAUGUUUAUAGAAUGUUCGAAUCGCUUUUAAUGUGGGAGACCUUCUCAUUCCUUUUACAAUCAAAAUUAACUUUAUUCAUAUGCUCAACCAGAACUUCAAUAUGAAGGGAGUAUGCCAACAAAUCUUGACUCGUCUGCCAUGGUAAAAAUACAGGAAAGUUUUUCAAUGUUCCAACAAGCAUUCUAUACAUAAAAAAUAAUGUAAAAGAAAAGCAUCACAAUUUACAUACCAAUUACCACUAUUUUUCCACACAGUUCUGGCAAAAGUGAUCGUGCCACUUGGCUCUCUUCUUGGCUACAAGCUGCAUAUAAACUUCACACCUCAAGUUGCUCCUAGAAAGCCUUCUACUAAUAGGUGUUUAUCAACCCGAAGGUCCUAACUCCUAGUGGUACCAUGAAGGCCAUAUGGAAGCAGUAGUAGUAGUACAGUACCAUGGAUGACCCUGCAAGGCUCAAGAAGGAACUAAUGAUAACAUAGAAGACCUACGCAGAGGACAUAAUAAUACCAUGGAUAUGUAUCAACAUCAAGGACAUAAUUGUAUCAAGGAGGACCAUUGCACCUAUGUGCUAGGCCAAGGGGUCGUGAUCUAAAUUCCUAACAGAUAAUUCGUGAAGGAGUUGCUGGAGUUGCUGGAUUUGCUGGAGAGUUAGGGUUUAGGGGCAAGUGAAACAUUAGCCACCACUUUGGGUAGUUACAAGAGCCUAAGUGUCUAUUUCACAAUAUUAAGGCUAUGCAAACUUUUUUGUCUGCAUUCUACUGUCCGUAUCCAUCUAAAUUCAUUACUAACUUAAGCGUCAAAGUGUUAUCGACCUGGCAUCAUAUUUGUGUUCAAUUUCUUUUGUUUUGUAAGACAAUCCUGUCAUUUUUCUCAAAAAAGAAAAAAAAAAACAAUUACAAACUUGUGAAGUGAUCUAUUUUGUGGUAUCAACAUUUUAAAAAAGGUGGCCAUUUUGGUAUUGCUGUUAAGAAGUGACAAUUUUGGUAUGAAAAAAAAAAGAAAAACUAUACUAAGCAAAGCUAUAUAUAUAAACCAAAUUUAUAUAUCUUGCAAAUACAGUUUUUUUUCUUUUUUUAAAAUAGAAAAGGCUUUGUACAAAUUAAACAUGGGGAAGGCAGAGAAGGGUUUGGUGACAGAUAUCUUACAAAGGGCUAAAAAAAGAUGUGAACUCUCAAUAAGAAAAGGAAAAGGUGAGAGAUCCUUCUUGCAAGUAAGCAAAGGAACAAUAAUAAUAAUAAUGGAAAGGGGACAAAAAGAGAAGCAGCCUUUUUGCACUUCUGCUGUUACCCAUCUCUCCAACUCAGUCUUCAUUCUUAAGGCUUUUUCCCAAACUUGUAUUCAUUUCAUCAUUUCAUACUCAGUGCAGGUAACACCUUACUCUCCACUCCAAUACAAAACUUACAUCCCAAGCACCUCAUAUUCAAUUACUAUGAGAAAAGAAAAAAAACCCAAAAAUGAUUGCCACAAACCUAAUCCUAGAUUCCACUUCUUUGACCCAAAGCAAAAGUAAACUCUCCAUCACAAUUUGGUAACUCAUUUUCAAAUGGCAGAGACCAAAAGCAAAUCAACAUAUACAAAUAUAAUUUCCCAAAUACAAUGUGUGAAUUCAAGUCUAAUCAAUUAGACGUUUGAGUAAAGAUAAGUGAAUUUUGGUUCCAAAAUUUCAGAGCAAAAGGCAGAGCAGAGUACAGAGGGGAAAUCAAGGACAACGAUGUGUGUCUGUUGAGAAGUAAUAGAGAAAAAAAAAAGUAAAGAAAGGGAGGGAGUUGGGUAGGGUUACAUACAUAGAUACCUUUAAAGCCAUUGCGGCGGGUUAAGGUUUGGCCACCUAACAGAGAAAGAAAAUCAUCAUCAUCAUUUGCGAGAGAGAGAUUGAGGAUGACGACGCAGAAACAGAGCUGGGAGGCACAACAGAUGCAGAGAGUGAAGAACUCGGGGAUGAUAAGCAGCAAUGUGAAUAAUGGGAUAAUUGGGAGUCCGUUGAAGGAGGAUCAAGAGGAGGAGAUUUCAAGAUCGGCAUUGGCUCUGUUUAGGGCUAAGGAAGAGGAAAUAGAGAGGAAGAAGAUGGAGAUGAGGGAGAAGGUGGAAGCUCGCCUUGGACGAGCUGAAGAAGCAACGAAGCGAUUGGCGGAGAUUCGGGAAGUAAGUUAAAGGUUGAAAUAAUGCACCAUUUUGAUGAACAUAAUAAGAUGAUUAAUGCAUGGUUGGUUCCAUUCCAUUGAUUAGGAACUUGAAGGAAUGACGGAUCCGAUGAGGAAGGAAGUUUCGUUCAUACGGAAGAAGAUUGAUUUGGUGAACAAAGAGUUGAAGCCAUUGGGACUCACUUGCCAAAAGAAGGUCACAAUUUCAUUUUUCAAAUUACAUCAACAUUUUUUCAUACUCUUUUCUUUUUCACCUUUCAUUUCCUUUUGUUACGCAAAAUAUCAUGCAAUUUUAUUAUUUCAUUUCAGUUUUGUUUUACUUUAAUUUUCACCUUACUGAUUAAAUUACAACUCAAAACUUAAAUAAUAAUAAUUGUUAUAAAUACCAUAUAAAAAGAAACGAAAUUAUUUACAAAAAUACAGAAAAAAAAAACUUAAAUUUAAAUGAGAUGCAAACAGUUUAAUUGUUUUUAUUAUAUUUUAUAAACUGUUUCAAUAUUUUACUAUUUUUUUAAAAUGCUCCUUAAUUAAAUAAAAUAACAUAUAAUUAAAUUUAAUUAAUCUAUUUUUGUAUUACUUAAUUAUUUAACAAAUAAAAUAAGUUAGGAACAUUUUCUUAAAUAGCAAAAUAUUAAAGUUAUUUUUUUCUUUUACUUACAUAUAAUAACUAAAAUAAUUAAAUUCAUGUAAAUGAAUUAGAAUAUUGAUAAUUAACUAUGAAAGUUUAUAUUAAAUAAAUAAUUAAGAUAGAUGGUAAAUAUAUUAGUUGAAAAUUGAAAUAGUAAUGAGUGUUUGAUUUUAAUUUUAAUUAGAAAAUUUCAUUUUAUGCACACAUAGUCUAUGAAACUAUGAAAGUUUUAUUUCAUGAAGGGACUAAAAGAAAUUAGCUCCCCAUGUUCUUCCUCCAGCUUCAAAUUUCAAAUUUACAUUUUUUUUAGUCGUUAAAGUUUAACAUAUAAGAAUUCUGAAAUUUCAAAUCACUAAACCUUUGGAAAACUAUAUACUUAUAUUAGCAAACUUAUCAUUUUGUUACAGAUUCGUUCUAAGUUUCAAAGUUUGUAUUAAUGUGUUAAAAACCCUAUUAGGCUACAUGUGACAUAGAUGUAGAUAAAAAAUAUGGACUUAUUAUUUUUUUAGAGCUCAUAAUUAUUUAAUAUAUACCUUAUAUUUCUAAUGUCAAAUUCAAAAAAUAUAUUUUCCCCCAAUUUAUAUAGACUAUAUUAUUGUUUUGUUUAUUUUUGUGUGUGUAGUUGAGAGUUGAAGUAUAUAUUAGUGUUCAUAACUAAUAUUUUGAUUUAUUUGGUCUCUAUCAGGAGAGAGAAUACAAAGAAGUGUUGGAUUUAUUUAACGAGAAGAACAAAGAGAAAUCUCAAUUGGUAUCCAAACUCAUGGAGGUGACUCUUUAUUUCUUUCCUUUCCAUAAUUGUUUAUUUGUUUCCAAGUUUAUUGAUUUUAAAAUUAUUUUUAAAUAUAAUAAAAUAAAUUAUAAAAUAUUUAUAAAUAUCAACAACCUUUUCAUUUAAAAUGAUUAUCCUUAAAUUCAUAAGGAUUUGAAUAUUUUUUGUUGGCCAGUUGGUGAAUGAGAGCGAAAAAUUGAGGAUGAAGAAGCUGGAAGAGCUGAGCAAGAACAUUGACAUCCUUCGUUAAGAAAAAGUGUUCUUCUAAGUUCUAACCCAAAUUAAUCACCAACAACCACUUUGUUUGUAUUUCCACAUUUUGUUUCUCCUUAACUCUCAUUACAUAUCUUUUUUUCUUGAAGUUUCCCAUCAGAAAAAAAAAAAAAGAGAGGAGGGAGAAAAAAAAAAGGAAAUUUAACUUUGCCAACAAAUGGGAAUGACAUUAAUUUGCUUGUAUUAAUAAGUUUCACAACCACGAGUGCUGUGUUGAUAGUGUGAUGCAUGUUUGACAAUAAUAUUUUUCCAUUUCUUUACUCGAAACUUUUCUGAAUAAUUGAAAAGAGGACAUUUCCUUCAUAGAUUUUUACUUCAGUAGUUCUGAUCCAAAAUAUAUGGGCAAAAGUAAGACAAGAAAGUGUUGUUUUUUACACACCAGUCCAAUUACCUACUACUUCCACACAUGAACAAACAAAUCAAUUUGUAAUAGCAAGAAGUAUAUAUUUGGAGUAUUUCACUCUCGAAUCCUCUGAAGGAAAAAAUUACUAAUUAGGAUAUGGAAAGAGUUACCAAUUACCUACUACUUUCAGAUAAUGGUAUGUAUGUGUAUUAUUAACCAUUUAAAAAGAUGGGAGAAUUAAGAGGGUUUUGUUUAAGAAUUAAAAAAUGGACGUAAAUGCAUGCAUACGCUGCAACAAUAAUAUAGUGUGUGCUGGUGCAAAUGCUUUCAUGAAAUAGUACCAUAAUGAAAUAUAAAUUAGUUUAAAUGACAGAUGCAAUGCACAAACUUUGAUUCUUUCAACACUCCCUAUAUCUUUUCAUUCUUAAGUUAACUAAAAUACUUUUUGUUCUUACAUGCAAACCCUACACGGAUUAGUUAAAUAUCCAAUAUGUUAUUUCAUAUACUAGAAGGAUAGGUUGUGUUUCUCUCUACACAUGCUUCUAAGUAAUAUAUUAGCCAUGGAUGUAGUUUGAAUAAAGUGGGUUUGCGGUUUCUCUUUUAUUUUUUCGUUAGACAAUUGAUGAUCAAAAUUGAUCCACAAUUCUUGUAUUUUGACUUGUUAAAUACAUUAUCAUUUCAUGUGUGUUUGGUCGAUGGAUUUGGAUUUUGGAGGGUUUGACAUUUGAAGCCAAACUCAUGUUUGGACACCAAGAAUAAAAUUUAUGGGAUUAACAGGGUUUGGAAUAUAUAUAUUCUAUUGAAUGUCAUAUGUUUCAGGAAAAUUUAUCUCUUUCAACAUCUUAUCAAUGAUCAUUGAUGAUUGUUGGCAACAAAUGUUAGCCAACUUCACGAUCAACCACCAUGAUCGAUCGACGGUCAUAAUAACAGAUCAUCAUCUUAACCGUCAACUCCGAAUUAUCUUGAUCGUCAACUCUGGAUCGUCUUGAUCGUCGAUUAUCAAUCGUCUUGAUUAUCGGUGAUCAAUCAUCUUGUUAUGUUGGUGACCUACAACUUUAGACGUUAUAUAUUGUCGUAAGGUGAACAUCUUAAUCGAUGUCUACCAAUCUUUAUCGUUGAUCGAUGUCAACCAAUCAUUAGAAAUUGACCCUUUUUGACAUAGGAACAUGAGUUGUUACUCACCCUCUCGGGUAGUUGACGACAUACACUGGCCAAGUGUAGAAUGUAGCUUAGCUAACACACUAAGCGGUAGAAAUAAAUAUUACUUAUCAAGAAAAAGUCACAAACCUAGCUAAACUACAAAUAACACAAAGAAAGAUGAACAAUAGAGGCAUGAAGAUUGAAAAGUGUAUAAAGAUACAUUGUAUUAAAGAAUGAAGGCCUUCAACCAAGGUACAAUAUAACUAAAUACAAUGUGAUUAAAAUAAAUAGUAAAAUGGAAAGAGGAAGAAAAUGAAAUACAAGUUAGGAGGAACGAGGAUCGACUCUUCUCUUCUCAAACUCUAAGCUUUCACAUUACAAUUUGGUCGGAGAAGAAGAAGGGAUACUGUACAAACGAUGGUAAGGCUAAUCCUUGCCACCAACUCUCUAGAUUGUUGCCCAUGCAGGUCCCAUUUUUGGUCUAUUCGGACCUCCUCUCUUUUGUGGGGAUGAAGUGCUUUUAUAGGCAAUUUUAGGUGGAAAACUUUUAUUCCUCUGAGAUUGUCAACACAAAUUUCGAUCCUAUGAGGUCACAUCACUCAAACUACCAUUCUUGUCCUCUAGUGAGACUUUCUCACGUGAUGACGUGGUUUCUCACCUUGAGAUGUUAAUCAUCCGAUGGGUUUCCAUCGCAUAGCCGCCUUGCACAAGAUGUCUCUUACGAUUCACUAGUUUAUUUAUUUGUUCAUUAUCCUGCAUUUAGACACGUUAAUUGCGUAAAACAAGCAUGAAAUUUAUGUUAGAUGUAUUUCUAAAUACUUAUGUAUUUACAAUGUAAGUUACACAUUCUAAUCAUUUUCUUAUGCAUUUUAACCUCAUUAUUCUAAUAAAAGAGGUUAUAAUAACGAGUAUUUAUACACGUUAUCAAGUACGAAGUUGAGAACAUAACUUCACAAGAAUUUUAUGCAUGUAUUUGUAUUCCCCAAAAAGAUUUCCUAAUGCAUCACUUCUUAUGUUUCAAGUUUUCCUUCCCUAGGAAAGUUGAGCUAGGAAGCUGCUAGGCGUUGAUAGACUAAAGCUUUAGUUUUAGUUUCUUUAAAAGUGUUAUUUUUAUAUUUGUAUCAAAUUGCUUAAAGAUAAUAAAGUCAUUAAGUUAUUCCUAAGUUUGAAGUGUACUAUUUCUUAUCGCCGAGUAUGCUUUAAUAAGUUGAGUUUAAACUUGGGCAUUCUGAUGUUUCACUUAGAGGUGUUGGGGUUGCCUAGGUGCAACCACACCUGGAAUGCAAGAGGCCGAAGGUGUUUUGGGUGGGGGUGUAACAACAUGUCUCCAUAUGAACGAACAAUUUGGAUCAAAUCGUUUGUAACACUUACAAUCUUAUAAUAUUUACAAAGUAGGUUGUAUCUGUAGUACUGUAACUAGGAUAAAGUACCAAAUUUUAUUCAUAUACUAUAAAUCAUUUAAAGCUACUAUUUCAACAUGAUCCAUAUGUAUAUCUACGACAUACUAUUCACAUUACAUUAAACAACCUUGGAUCUUGUCUCCACAGGUGUAAUGUCGAAUAAAAUAACUUCAUAUUUGAUUAAAUAAAUAAAUUUAGUUUAUACAUUAAUGCAUUACAAACCAAGAGAACUAGGACAUAAUUAAUCCUAACACUAUAUAUCUCCCUCCCAUAAUUUAUUACAAGAUAAUAAAAUAAUAGAAUAAUGGUAAGAAAUAGUAAAUUUGACAAAAUAUAUAUUAAUAUAUAGCAAAUUUUUAGAUUCUAUCAACAUAGAAAUUGAUAGACAUUAAUAUGUUUUUAUUGGUGACAUUAAUAAAAAAUGAUAAAUGUUUAUUCGUUUAUAUUAUUGAUAGAAUCCAAAAUUUUGCUAUAACUUGUAAAUAUUUUAAUUUAUCUUACUAUAUUUAAAAAGAUCCCUAAAUAAUAAUUUAUUUUUUUAAAAAAAUCAAAUUGUUUCUCUGGAAAUUGUAGGUUUUAAUUUUUUAUCUUACUAAUGAGUUGACAGGUGUAGUUCAUGUUGCACCAAAGUAAUUUUCUAGUAGUAAAUGUAUUUUUCUAUUUUUCUCCCAAAUCACUCACCAAUAUUUUUUCCUAGUUAUAUAGUUGCUGUUCCUUCAUUUUACCAAGUUGAAACAAAAAAAGUUUGCCAUUGACGGUCUCUCUAUGAGAUUAAUACUUGAAAGCUAAAUUAUGACUUGUUGGCAGCGCAUAUAUACUUUGUAACUCUGUCUUGUACAAAAUACCUAUCACUUUACAUCUAGGUUAAACAAAGUACUUACCAAAUUUGAUUUUUUAUUUUUAAAUAAAAGAAAGCAAAAUAUAUAUACUAUAUUAUAUGUAGGUAGGCAAAAUUUAAUUAAAUCGUUUGUUAGGUGACAUUAUUUAGGUGCAUUUUAUUUACACAAUUCAUAGAAUUAGUAAACUUAAGUAGUGAGAAAAUUAAAUAGAUGCCUACCUACACAUUGAAUAUUAUAAGCUCUAGGGUUUACAAAAGCUUAAAUCAAACUUCUUGCUUGUGAAAGCAAACUAGGGCAUGGUAUGCUUAAUGUUGAAUGAAUAUAUGCAAUUAUAUAGACCUAUGGCUCUAUAAGAAUAUGUCCCUUCACAAACCAAAUUCAAGUGGAAGAAGAAACAUAUUUAUCUAAUGAUGUUCAAUUUCACUUGACAAAACUAGGGUUCAUCAUUGUUCAUUAUAAGAUUCCCUCUAAGCAACGCAUGCAAUUAUACUCAAUUUCAAGCAAACUUGAAGGUAACAUACCUUUGUAUGUUGUCAGAUGCAAAGCUACAGAAAAAAACAAAAAGGUAGCAGAUAAAGUUUUUGCACACAAAUAAGUUUGAUAUAAGAACAUGUGGAGCAAUGAAACCAUUUUGUUAAAAUUCAUCAAUUUGAACAAUAAUGUUAUUUUUUCUGACGACAUUUGGAGUGAAGCUAUUAGAGGAUUUAGAAUUGAAACUAUUUUUCUUAAUGGUUAGGGUUAAAAUUAUUGUUAAAUUUGAUUGAAUUCAAUUAAUGAAAAGGUUUAGGAUAAAUAUAAAUGUGAUUAAAUUCAAUUAAUUAAAAGUUUAAGAUUAUAUAGUUGAUAUCAACUUGUCUAUUCGACAUGGGUGCUGAUGGUAUUCAAGUUGGUACUCACAAGUUUAGGACCAUUUUGCUCUUUCAGUGGUUAGUUUUUGUAUAUUUACAUGAACAGUAAAACGAUAAAUCUCUCUUAACUAAAUACCAAUAACAAGACAAUUGUAACGAAUAAAAAUAAAGGACUAUGUACCCUUUCAAAAUUGAAAAUUUAAGGUUUAAUUAAAAAAAAAAAAAAAAAAGCAUUUUGCUAGCUAAUUUUUAAGAUUUCUUUUUAUAUUUUAUGAGAUUUUUAGAUGGUAAACUUAAAAGCUAGUUUUUUUAUAUUUUAUAAUUUAAAGUUUUUAUGUGUAUUAGACUUCUUAAAAGGCUUAUUAAGAAUUUAUCAAAUCAUGAUAUUAGUUUAUUAAAAACUAAGAAUUAAACUUGUACUAACCAAGUAAUGGUAGAAUAAAUAACAAAUAAAAAAAGAUUUAUAUGUGAAAUGGUGUUCAUGUGUAUUAUUUUUAAAACUAAAAACAAAUAACCCAAUAAAUACUAAGAAAUGUGAUUCUCAAAUUUAUAUAAAAGAAAGAUUUAGGUCGAAAAAAAUACCAAUAAAAGAAAUUGCUAUAGAUUUUUCUUAUUUUAUUUUUCUUUUGUUAAAAUGGUGGUUAAAAAGUUUAAGAGGAAUUUUUUUCUAAAAAUUUAAAAUUCUUUUUUUAUUCUUAUUCUUAAUAAUUUUUAACAUAAAGCAAGUGGAGCCAAACACUAAACAUCACUUAUAAAAAAAAUUAAGUUUAAAAAAUGUACAAGGAAGGUGAGAGAACAUGCUACUAGUGAUGAUGUAAGAAUAACUCAAAUAAGUCGAUAAUCUAGACUACUCAACUCAUAUUAUAUUGGUUAAUUUAAAACGUGGAUAAAGUUAUUAGGUUGAACAUUUUGGUUUUCUUUGAGUUGGGUUGAGUCUCGGGUCGGGAUUAAAAAUUUUGUGUCAACCCAACCUAAUCUGAAUUAAUAUUAUAUAUAUUUUAUUAUUUAUUUAGUAUUCAUGGAUAAUAUUUGAAAUGUUGAACUUUUAUGGAUGUUUGAAUUUUUUAUUGUAAGUAUUUAUCGUUGUAUAAAAGAUUUAAAACAUUAGGAAUACAAAAAACAAUACAACUCAACAACUCAAUCCAACUCAUAUUUUAAGGGUUGGGUUGGGUUGGAUAUACAAUUUGGGUUAUUCGGGUUGCCAACCCAACCAACUCGAAAAUAUGGAUUGAGUUGGAAAUGUCCCUAAACUCAACCCAAUCCAACCCGUUUACAUUCCUACCCAAUCCAACCUGUUUACACCCCUAUUUGGUAUGACUAAUAGGUUUGUUUGGCUUCUCUACCACUAAUCUAUUUUAGUUAAAAUUUAUACUAAUAAAUACAAAAAAAACGAUAAGUAGAAAGGGACACCUUCCUCGAACUCGACCGGUACAUGGAUAUGUUAGUAUUAGUGAAAAAUUGAUGAAUGAAACUAGUAAGUAUCUCUAGUAACUCAAAUUAUUGGUUGGUUAAUCUUUUGAACUACCCUUUCCUUACACUCUCAUUGCCUUUAUAACUUUUAUGUAUUUUAAAUUGAUCCUCUAUGUCUAUGCUAUUUAAAUACUACAAAGUGUUGAUUAGCAGCAGGGAUGCUAAAAAUAUUUAUUUUAUGUCAUUGAGGGCCUCAAUAACACUUUAAUCAAUGACAUAUUUAAAGUGGAAUGAAUUAACUACUUUUCCGUAAUUAUUUAGUUUUUAGUUUUAAAAUUAAAUAUAUAAACCAAUUGAUUACUAAACUAUUAUUAUUAUAAGAAAUGAGAAAGGAAUAUGGUUAAUUUUAAAAAACCAAUUCAUUAUUAAACGAAUCCUAAACAACUAAUAUAAUAAUGUUACUAUUGUUGAUGUCCCAUACCAGCUUCAAAAUUAAAAUAUAUCUCUCUAUAUAUAUGUUGAUAUAUUCACAAAAUGACAUUUUUAAUAGGGAGAUUUUGAAACAUAUAUAGCAAAAUGUAAAAUAUUAGGUUUCUAUUAAUCACAUAAUUAAUAAAAUUUAAAUAUUUUGAACGAACUUUUAAUUUAGAAUAGUUUCCCUAUUUAGCACACAUAUAUAAUAUAAACACUACAUUUUUAUCAUUCACAAUAUCCAUAUGAAUACUAAUAACAACUAAUUUUGCAAUAGUUAGAAAUGAAUUAUUAUUUGAAGUAUCUUCAAAAAGCUAAAAGAUGAUAAAAAGUAAUUUAAAGCCUUGAUUUGCCAAGAGAAAAUCUCACAGAUACCCCUAAUCUAUGACGAUUUAGACUCCAAUAAUUAGUAUUUUUAUCUCGUGGAUCAGCGUAUACAUAUCUCUCUCUUUCCUUCAAACUAUUAUCAUUAUUCUUUUCUUUCUUAAUGACACAUCUUUGGCUUUCACUCUUGCUUUCCCUGUUUUGCCUUUUCUUCUCACUCUCCCUCUCCAUUUUCGACCUUCCCCUCUCUUCUUCUCCCUUUCCUUUGCCUUUUUCAUCCCCCCUCCCAAUUUUCAACUUAGUUUGACAAAUGUCUUAAGUACGUAGGGUUAAUUAGUAUGUUAUAAAUUCAUUUAAACACAUAUACACAAAUGCAAAUCUUUUAGUUCCUGAAUUUAAUUACAAAAGUCUUCCUAGAAUUUGUUGGCAGGAGAAACUCGAACAAGUAGUUGUGUCGUCAUGUCAUAUACCUUUUCUGGUUUGUUUGUUGGCCUGCCUUUACAAUCCAAUCUUAGCUUUUGAGUUGUUCUACGUAACAAUAAGUGUACUUGGUGUGCUGUUGAACUAGCCACACUCUAAUGUUGAGUUAUUGUAUAGAAAGUGUAUAGUUUAGCGAGGUACAAAGAGUUGGAUUUAGGGUUUUUUUUAGAGUUCAUUUAUACCUUCCCCUUGAAGUGUUGAUUGAGGCUAUUUAUAGUGCUCUUAAUUUUCCUCUUAAACUUCCUGUGGUUACUUGUAAUGUCAUUGAUGUCAAGGUGGUUGUGGUUCUCAAGGUUGCAGAUUGUCGAGGUAUGAGCUCGACUUGUUAAUCAUUUUCCAAUUAGUAUAAUUACUCUUUCGACCUAUCUGGUUAGCCCUAAAACUCCAUUGUUGGACUUCUUUUUUCUUUUGGAACAUGCAUUUUUCAUGUUGCCUUCCAAUUUCACUUGGGCUUGGUGCACUCUAGUAUCAAUUAACCUUCAAUAUAAUUAUUUUAAAAGAACUUCAAUCGGAACUUAAAAGGGUUAAAAUGAGACUUUUAAAAGUUUAAAAGUAUAAUGAAACAAACUCUACAAUUCAAGUAUCGAUAUAUAUCGUCUAAUCUUGAUAUCAAUCUGCUAAGCCAUUUAAAUCACCGAUCUACAUAAAUAUGUGUAUGCAGCUAGCCACUGUUGUGGAAGUGGACAUGACUCAAGUACAUUGUUGUGGAGGUAGGCUAGCUGCUAACUUUAAAACCAAAACAUCAUAAUUGGAAAAAUGUAGUCCCGUCAAUGUUGUUGCUCCUAGCUUAGCUUCAUUAUUCUAUAGCACAUAUAUCAAAUUUAAACUAUAUGAUCUUCCUAUUCCAAAAAUCUGCCUUGCAACACAAGCACCAAUAACACACCCCCAUCCUUUGCGUCAAUUAUUUAAACUCCAACUUCCAUAUUCAAAAUUUCAUACAAACUUCAUUUCAUGAAAAUGUUUGCUAAAAAUAUUCACAUCUUCUUUUGGUUCUUCUUUUCUCUCCUCAUUCUUCACUCUACAUUAUCAUCAUCCAUUUCUUCACAUGUAUAAAAAUACUGUCAUAUUUGCCAUCACAUACGUUUCGCUUUGAUAACUAUUAGUUUUUUUUAGUUUUAUUUGGUGAAAAUCUAGAUUACAGACUCUGUACUUCUAGUAUGGUUUAAUUUAUUUGCUUAGUUAAUUUACUGUUUAGAAGUAUUUUAAAAACUUAUGCAAAGUUGUGAGACUAAAGUCUCUUGUUUUAUAUCAAUUUCUUAUAGUGAUUUGUAUACUUCUUGGGUUAGUAAUUUGAAUUAUUGGCUAAAUUUAAAAUUAAAACAAUUUUUAACAACUAAACUUUUUAUAGUUUUCUAAAAUAGGUUUGGUUUUUUGAAAAAUAUUAGUAAUAGUAGAUAACAAGGUAGAUUGUUUACCAAAAGAGCUUAAUUAAAAAGUUUUUUUUUUUUUAAAAAAAAUGGUUUAUAAAAUUUUACCAAUAAUAACCUAGAUUGUUUCUUUGAAAAGAUGAAAACUAACUCAUCCGGUAAAUAAGUUGUAAGAAAAAACACAAUUUAUAAAAAAAAUCAAAUGCUAAACACACAAUUUAUAAAAAAAAUCAAAUGUUAAACACACAAUUUAUAAAAAAAAAUCAAAUGUUUAUCAAACAUUCUCAAUUCAAUAUCUUCCCCACCCAUUACCAAGCUUAUUAAACUACAUUUAUAUGUUUACUCUUUACUUUUAUAGGUGUAUAUAGUGUACUUAGGGCACAACCGUUUGAAUGACGAUGCAACUUUGACCUCCAAGUACCAUCUUCAUCUACUCUCAAAAGUGUUUGCAAGGUUAAUGUUAAUUAUAUAUAAUUUUGCUAUUAUUCCACUCUUGUUAAUAUUCAAACUUAAUGAAUGGAUUAAUUUGUAUAAUACCAAAUUAUUAACUUCAUUAUGCAUAUAUAUUAUAUGUUAAUUUAAUACACAUUAUAUUAUGAUCAUUGAAUCUAAAGUGUUGGCCAUUGCAUGCAGUGAAGAAGAUGGUAAAAGAGCCAUGUUGUAUAGCUACAAGAAAAGUUUUUCAGGGUUUUCAGCUAAGCUUAAUGCAAGCCAAGCAAUUGCAUUAUCAAGUAAUUAUAAAAUCGUGUUAAUUAAAGAUUCCGUUUGGAUUGACUUUUUUUUUUCGGUUCAAAAAAGGGUUUUUAAAUAAAAGAAAAAAUUGUGUUUUUAAGCACAUAGAAAUUCAAUUCAAACAAAAUUUUUGUUUUUGAGCUUAUUGUACUACCAUUGGCAUGCAGAGAUGGAAGACGUGAUAUCUGUAUUUGAGAGUAGAACAAUGAAACUCCACACAACAAGAAGUUGGGAUUUCUUGGGACUUCCCAUUCCCUCCUAUACUAAUAAUAGGAGUGCACGAUUUUCGCUUCAUCUUCCUAGCUAUGGCGAUCAUGACGUUGUUGUUGCCAUAUUUGAUUCAGGUGUGUUAUGGUUGAUUUUUGAAAUUGUUAAAAUUAGUUUGUUGUUAUGUUUAAAACCACCUUAAUCACUUCCAUACCAUCUUUUGCCACUUGGUGUGAUUGUUGAAUUCCAUAAAUGAGUUUUCUUAUGUUCAGGGAUUCAAUUACAAACUAUUUUGGUUUUGUACUUGUAUAUUCGAUUCAAUCUAGACCUCUCGUAAUUUUAUAAUGUUCAAUUUGGUUCAUGUAAUUCUCAAUUUUGGUUUCACUUAAUUUAUAUACUUUCAAAAUGUGUUUAUUUUUUACUGUAGCUCGUUUGUGCUCAAGUAACAGAGUGCACUCAUCUUUUUUACUCAUUCAUGGUUACUCUUAAUUAUAUUAAGUUUAUGCCUAAACUGGAUUAAACUAUUUUCGAGCAACUCACUCUCUAAGCACAUUUAAUAGUCUAAUCACAGUUUGUGAUGCAGUAAAUUUUUCUUUCUUUUGAAAUAUUUUUUUAAUUUUCUUUUCGUGAAUAUAGAUCUCAUCUAAGAUAUAUCCAAGUAUUAUUCAUAGGUUAAUAAUGAUAUAGAUGAAAGUUUAUUAUGAUUAGGUGUGUGGCCCGAAUCAAAAAGUUUUGAAGAGAGUGAAGGAAUAGGGAGAAUUCCAUGCAACUGGAAAGGGAAAUGCGUUAAAGGAUACAGAUUCAACCCAGCAUCAGCCUGCAACCGCAAACUAAUUGGCGCUCGGUAUUAUCUUAAAGGCUUCGAAGCCCAAUAUGGAGCACUAAACACCACUGCCGACAACCCCGAGUUCCGCUCCCCUCGAGACUUCUUAGGUCACGGCACUCACACCGCUUCCACCGCGGUGGGUGCCGUUGUGCACAAUGUUGGCUUCCCUACAUCUUCAUCACUAGCCAAAGGCACUGCUAGAGGAGGCGCGCCCUGGGCCAGGCUGGCGGUGUACAAGGUGUGUUGGGGGAAGGACUACGAAGGCAAGUGCACGGAUGCGGAUGUCAUGGCUGCUUUCGACGACGCUUUGCAUGACGGGGUGGACGUGAUCUCCGCAUCUUUUGGAGAGAGGCCGCCGUUGAUUCCAUUGUUCGAGUCGGCUUCUGCUAUUGGCUCAUUCCAUGCGAUGCAGAGGGGAGUGAGUGUGGUGUUCUCAGCUGGGAAUGAUGGAUCCCACCCUUCCCUUGUUCAAAAUGUGUCUCCUUGGAGUAUUUGUGUGGCUGCUUCUACUAUGGAUCGAACCUUCCCUACUACAAUAUUUAUCCUCAACCACUUCUCUAUCAUGGUUUCUUUUCUUUCUUUAUUUAUUAAUUGUUCAGUCCAUUUUUAAAACCAAAAUAUUUAGACGUAUUUCAAUUGACUUAAUUUUUCAAAAAAAGAAAAGCUGACACGAGAGUAGUAGGAACUGCACAAAUGAAAAGAUGAGUGUCUUCCGACUAUACCUAAGUUUUUUCCUUAUAAAAGCUCAGUAAAAAAUAUAAUUGUAAAUUGUUGUAAAACAUCUUGUAAUAACUAAUAAUCUUGUUGUGGAUGUGUUGAUCAUUAGGGGGAGAGCUUGAUCACAAGAAAUAUAAUAAACGUAAAGUUAGCAGAUGCAAUCAACUAUUUCAAUGAUGGGUCCGUACUUUUUCUUGUGCUCUUUGUAACUUUAUUUUUAGUAUAAUAUUGAUGGAACGAGGAUUUAACCAAUUAUCUUUUAAAUCAAAAAUCAUGUUAGGUAUUGUUGAAGUUUUCUAUUUUGUUUUUAUCUGAAUCUUUAUAAUUUAAAAUACAAUAUUGUUUAGCCUAAGUUUUAAGCUUGAUUUCAAUAGUUAAUAGUUUAAAAAUGUUUACAACUUUACCAAUGAGAUUUUAGUUUUAUUUCAAUUUGGUUUAGGUUUCAAGGUUAGUCUCAAAAGUCUAUACAUGUUUCAAUUUAUGAUGUUAACGUCUAUUAAUUAAUUUAAAAUAUAGUUAUGAAGUGAACUUUAUAUUUAAUUUGAAUAGUGUUGCAAAAAUGUUGAAACUUAACUAAGUAAAAGUUUUUUAUAUGAUCCUAAAAUUUGAAAACAUUAGACUUAAAUUUUUAAAACAUUCUGAAUUUUAUGGAGUUUUAUUUCAAUUUACAGUUCUAAAAACUCCCAAUUUUUGAUAAAACAAAAAUGCAGAAUUUGCGAGAGAGAAAAUAUAAGAAAAGGUGGAAAAUCAGGUAAAGGGAAAGUGGUGGUGUGUUUCUCCACAAUUGGUCAAGUUUCCAUAGCAACUGCUCAAGAAGCAGUGAAAGCCAUAAAUGCAUCAGCUUUAAUAUUUGGUGCACCUCCCACUACGGAGCUCCCGGAUUUAGAUCUAAUCCCCACCGUUCGUAUUGACAUUCAUCAAGCUACUCAAAUUCGAAACUUCCUUGCUGAAUUACCCAGGUGAUCUCUAUUUUCAUUUUCAUUUCAGAAGAAAAAAACUUUAUAUUAUAUAUAAUUCAUAUAUAGAUCUAGGCUUUGAUUAAUAAUACCACAAGUUAUUAAUUAUUUGUAUUAAAGACUGCCUAUGGUCGAGAUUGGAGUUGCGAGAAGUGUGAUCGGAAAAUCUGUAGCUCCUACUGUGGCUUACUUUUCGUCUAGAGGACCAAGCUCUAUUUUACCUGACAUUCUCAAGGUACGAAAUUAGGAAAGUUAUGGGGUAAGAUUUUAUCAAACCAUAAAAGCUAAAUUUGAGAGUGAUGAAAGGUGUUGCAAAUGUGAUUUCUCAGCCAGAUAUAAGUGCACCGGGAGUGAAUAUAUUGGCAGCAUGGCCUCCAGAAACAGCACCGACGGUGAGGCCAAGUGGAAAGAUUAAUGAAGAAGAAGAAGAAGAAGAAGAAGGCGUAAAAUGGAAUUUCCAAUCAGGAACUUCAAUGUCAUGUCCGCACGUUUCUGGGGUUGUUGCUCUCAUCAAAUCUGUCCAUCCCAAUUGGUCUCCUGCAGCGAUUAGAUCUGCCAUUAUCACCACAGGUUUCUAAUUUACUAUUUGUUAAUUACUCAUCUAAAACACUAAAACACUAAAACACAUUCACUAAUUGAAAAUUAAGAAUAUACAUUUAUAUUCUAACAUUUUUUUUUAUAUAUAGAACAAUUUUCUUUUGAAAACUAAGGAUAACCUCCUUAAUUUAUUAAUUACAAGUAAUUGCCUUUAACUAUAUAAUAUCCAGCCACGAAGAUAGACAGCAGUGGGAAUACCAUCCUAGCAGGCGGAUCCAUGAAAGCAUCCGACCCAUUCGACAUUGGUGCAGGUCAAGUGAAUCCCAUAAUGGCAAUAAAUCCAGGACUAAUCUAUGACAUAACAACCAAUGAUUACAUUACUUUCCUAUGCAAUAUUGGCUACACUGACCAACAAAUCAGCAACUUAAUUCUCAACCCUUCUCCUCAUUUUUGUUGUCGUCAAUCCACUGCAACCAUUGCAAACUUUAAUUAUCCGUCAAUUACACUCGCCAAUCUUCGCUCCACCACCACAAUUAGAAGAAUUGUCCGCAAUGUAUCACUCAAUAAGAACGCUAUUUACUUUCUUAGGGUUCUACCUCCCUAUGGAGUUCGAGUACAGGUUUGGCCAAGGGUUCUCUUUUUCUCUUGCUAUAGGCAACAAAUUUCAUACUAUAUUACUAUAACUCCGCUUAGGAAAUCUCGAGGAAGAUAUGGUUUUGGGGAGAUUCAAUGGUUUAAUCGCUUCCAUACUGUUACAAGUCCUCUCGUUGUACGUCUUGCUACUUAGCUUCUACGUAACAAUUAGAGCUUGAUCUUGUAAUCUUACUUGCGUUGUUAUGAUGAUGAAUAAUAAUAAUAAGUUCAAUCUUAUAUACUAUUCUUCGUGUUUCCUUACUUUAGCAUCGUCUAUUUACUUUGUAAUUAAAAUGGUUGGAAUGAGAAAUUAUAUUUGUUUUUACGUUAUUUAUUGUCAUUCAGCAUCCAUAAUAUAUUUGAAAAAGAUUGUUUAAAUCUGAUUAUUCUUUUCUACAAUUGUUUAAUCAAAUUUAAACGAUUUUUUUCACUAUUUUUUGGUACACAGUCGUUUACAUUGGUGGAUCGUUUAUAUUUUGUAUAUGAUCGCUUAGAUUGGAUCUUUUAAAUUUGAGUAUCUAAAUUUCAACAAUUUUAUUUUCAAGAUUUUUUAUCACAUAAUCGUUUAUAUUUGGUACACGAUCGUUUAAAUUUGGCUAUUUAAUUCUAGAUGAUUUUUUAUAGAUUAUUUGAUACACGAUUGUUCAUAUUUGGGUUUUUUUUUAUCAGUUCGUUUAGAUUUGACAUUUUUUUUAAAGAUUUUUUAUAUUUAGUACACGAUCUUCAACAACCAACGGUUAGAAUUUUUUUUUUAAAAAAGUACAUCUUUUAUAUUUGAUACACAUCUUGAACUAAAUAACAAUUUGAAAAAAAAUAAAAGAAAAAUGUCAGAAUAAGAAAGAAAAAUAGCAUAAGAAAGUGAUGGAGAGAAAAAAAUUUGUGAAAGAGGAAGAGAAGAAAGACGGUGAAAAUGAAGGGAAAUUUUGAAAUAUUUUUAAAAAAAUUUCAGCUUAAUGAGCUUUUUCAUUUUGUUACACAAAUCGUAAAUAUUUUGGCUGUUUGUUAUAUUUAUGAAAAUUAGUCUUAUUUAUUUGUCUCUACGAUGGGAAUGGAUAUGAUUAACACAACUGGAUAUGGGUCCACAAAACUGAUAUUAAAUAAAUACAAUUCAUAAGCUAACAUGUAACUCUAAAAAACUAAGGUAAUUUUCUAUUUAAUUAUUUGAAUUUUUAUUCAAAGUAAAGUUAUUAUUGGGUUAAUUUUCAUAAAUGUAACAAAAUACCAAAAUAUUUAAGAUCUAUAUAAUAAAAUAAAAAGCGCAUGAAACCAACCAUUUUUUAUAAAUAUUUCAGGUUUGUCCUUGUUGCUUUUGAAUUUCGCGCGGGUCUGAUUUCUUUCUUCUUCUUUUCCAUCUUUUUCACAGAGGCAGUCUCUUGUUCUCUUCUUCUUCUGUAAUUUUUCUUUUAUAUUGUUUUGGAACCAUGUGUUUUACAAUUAUUAUUAUUCUUUUUCAUUAUAUACUUCUGCUAUUAUUAUCUUUGUUUUUCAAUUAAUCAUCAAUCUUGUAUUAUUUUUUUUCAAUGUGUCGUGCACAGUGAUGAACUACAUGAUUAUAUUAAAACCACAUCCUUAAUUAAACAUAUAUAUCAUAAUACGAGGGAAAUUAAUACAAGGAAAAAUAAAAAGAAAGGUUUACGAGGGAAAUUAAUUAUAGAAUACGAAAUGUUUGAUGUGAUGAAAGAGAAUUCAAUGAAGAGAGAAAGGUGAUUUUUGUUCGAAUUUAUGUCCUAAAAGUUGUAUCUUGUAAUCAUAUUAUAUUCAAUAAAGUCGUUAUUGAGAAAUUGUUAGCGAAAUUGAAUACUAUAACCUUAUAUCUAAUAAACUAAGGUCCCAAUGCUAUUUUGAGUAAACUUGAACAUUAUGUGGAGACAUAAUGUGAAAUCCCAAAAUUUGUAAAACAGUGGAACUUGUUAAGAAUUGGCUAAAUGUUCAAAGGACAAAAGUGCCAGGUGUUUAGAGGUUAAGAUGAUGGUCAAAAGUGCAUAAAUAACCUCUAAAUGCUUAAUGGGAGGCAAAAUAAGGAUUUAUAACCUUCAAAGCUAAGUGUUUAGGACUUAUGUUAGGCAGUCGUGAAAAAUAACCUCUAAGACAAGUCUAUGCAUUUGAUGUAGCUUAACAACUUUUGAAGUUGCCAGGACAGAAGGAUAAUCGAGAGGUUAGCAUUGACAUAAGUAUGAUGGCUAGGCGAUAAAAAUUAAACAUUGUACAUGGUGAGAUGACUUGAAAGGUUAGAAAGCACAUAUUGGACAGUCAAGGUUACACAUGGAAAUACUUGGUUGUGCGGAAGCUUGUAGUUAUAGAGGUUAUUAUGGUUGUCAUAUGCUAUGUUUUAAGCGUUGACAUUUUUAACUUUAAUUUUUCAUUUAAUUACUUAUUUUAAAAAAUUUGCAUAGUAAUGAUUCUUGAUUAAUUUAAAACAAUUAUGAAAUAUAAAUUUAAGUUUAGUUUUAAAGAAAAAUUGUAUUAGAUGACAAAAAAAAAAAUAGAAAAAAAAUACCAUAUAGCACAUCUUUUUUGCAUAUUGCAAAUAUGAUAAAUAUGACAAGUAAUUAGACUUCAAAGAGCUAGCAGAGGACUAUCCGCUUUUAAAUUUGGUACUUUUGUAGAUGCACCAUAAAAGUGGUGAAAAAUAGUUAAACUUAAUUAUAAUUCAUUUAAUUAUUUAAAAUCUAUCCAAUGUUAGAAAUGUUAAUCUUCAAAAUUAGAACCAAAUUAAAAAAACUCAAAUAUCAAAAAUAAAAUUUUACAAUUUAAAACCUAAAGAAUAAAGAAUAAAUUUUAAAUUUGGCUACGAUCGUUUAGAUUUGGCUAUUCAAUAUCUCAACAAUUUUUUUAACGAUCUUUUAUACUUGUCGCACAAUCUAAACAACCAAAUAAUAGUUUGAAAAAAAAUAAAAAAUAAAUAAAAAGAUACUGUAUAUUUGGUACACGAUCUUGAACCAGAUAACAAUCUAAAAAAAAUAAAAGAAGAAUUUAUGAAGAUAGAAAAAGACGAUGGAAGGAAGAAAAAAAUUGCAAAAAAGGAGAAGAAAUAUGAUGAUCAGAAAGAAGAGGAAGAAUCGAAAUUAAAAAAUCGUUAUUAACUAGUAAGGGCAAAUAUGAAAUUUUGAAAAAAAUAAUCAGCCUUAAUGUGCUUCAUAUGUAUGUAAUAAUAAGUAAAUAAAAUUUAGUUAUAAAACUUGCAAUGUAAGAUGAAACAAGUAGAGGAAAUGAACGAGGUAGAACAUCUUACAGGCUCGAUGUUUCUUUAGCUAUUCCUUAAGCUUCUCGUUCUUACGAGGAUUUACCAUUCUUCUAUCUUGAGUUAAUUCUAAAAUUAACUAACUCAAAUCAAAGUUAGUUCCCAAAUUAACUAACUCCUAAUAGACUUUGGUUAAACUUUCAGCCUAUAAAAGACUCCCACUAUUCAUUAAUAAAAAGAUAUCUUGUAGUAUUAUCAUAAAAACUCCUAAGCUUUGCAUCAAUUGGUAUUAGAGAGCUCAAUCCUAGCUCACCUCCUUCCAAAGAAACUUGGAUCUUAAUCAUUCCCAACCAUGGAUGUAGAAGCCUUUGUAAACCAACACUUGCCGUUGGUGGAACAAGCUAUUGAAGAACUCUGAAAAGGACAAUCAGAUAUGCAGCAAUUAAUAGUAGAAUUGACUAACCUUUUCACUCAAUUUCAUGUUCAGCCUUUAGAAGAAGCAAUUCAACCUCCAAGAAACCAAGUUACAACAAAUCAAAAACGACAAGAAGUACCAAGAAACGAAGCUACAACAAACAAAAAACGUCCAAGCUAUUCACAUCCACAACAAUUUUCUAUAGGAACAACUUACCAGGCUACUUGUUAGAUGAUUCCGACUAUUCCGAUGAAGAUAACUCGCUGAAUGUUCAUCCAGACCCACAAAUAGGACUUGGUUUUCGACCAUAUUUUCAAAAAGAUCAAGAAAUAAGAAUGAAGGUGGAUCUUCCUACUUUCAAUGGUCGAAUGGACGUGGAAAAAUUUCUUGAUUUGGAUCAAGAAUGUAGAAAAAAAAAAUUGACUAUGGCAAUACAACUGAACACAAAAAAUUUCGAUUAGUGGCUCUCAAGCUCCAAUGUAGCGCUUGUGCUUGGUGGAUCAAUUACAAAAUGACAAACGACAAUUUGGUAAACAACAGAUUAGAACCUGGCCAAAGAUGUUAAGACUCAAAAAAAAAAACGAUUCCUCCCAAUCAACUACCAACUACUACAAUCAAUAUCAACAAUGUCACCAAAGCUAAAAUAUCAUAGAUUGCCAACAUGAGCUUAGCUCAACUGACACCUGUAUAUUCCUGUGGACAAGUGGCCCCGAGUUCAAAUCCCCACACCAGCAUUUAUUACAAUACCUUUGCAAAAAAAAAAAAAAAACCAUAGAUUACACAGGAGAGUUCAAUAGAUUUAGUGCUUGCAACAACCUACCUGAAAUUAAAGAUAUUGUCAACUUACACGUACUUACUUUUCUUAUAGAUGCUAUUUUCUUGGCAUCCAAGAUUGAGAUAACUAACCUUCUAGUCAGAAUUUCUAAAAAUCAUAAAAUCAACUACUUCUUUGCCACCUCGGAGAAAAUCAAGAUUGUGGAUCUUUUAUUAGAAUAAAUGCUAUUUUAUACAAGAUAAGUCUCCUAUCUAUAGAGUUCUAUUACAAUUGGGGUAAAAAAAAAUGAAUUAAUCUAGAAUAUUAUUACUUAAUUACCCAAUUAACCCUUAGUCUUCUUACAUCAUUCUACCCCUCCAAAAAGAAACACUUGUCCCGAGUUUAAAAGAAUGAAAUAAACUUGUUGAACGAAGUAUGAUCAAACCAACUUCCUAAAUUUUGAACAAAAACAUUAUGAUCGAAAGGAUAAAAUCGAAACAAAAAAUUAAACAUGACCACCAAAAGAUGAACCUCGCCAUCGGCCGUAGACACGAAAAAUAUUUUUCCUUCAAUCUCACUCAAAACUGUAUUAAAAAAAUUCAAUUUUAAAAGAAUUAGCUUUUGAAAAAAAAUCCUUCAAAAAUCACAUUGUUUUUAUCAUUCGUUUCAUGUUCUUUGACAGUUUGAAGAUUCAAUUCCAUUGUAAUCAAUGUGUCGUUCUUGUUUGAUUUUUGCUCGGUGUUUGAUACUUCUCUUUCAUCUUAUUCAUUGGAUUUUUCUUCACCUUUGAAGAUUUCCAAAUCAACAUUUGAGACUAUACUGUUCCCCAAACAGAAACCACCGAUU